rnacentral:lncRNA from 1 species
AGGAAAAUACUGCGGCUCUCUGGAAAAUCUCAAUUUCAUUUCAGCCUUGCAUCCUUGCUGCUGUACUGAAGAUAUAUUGGGCAGACUACCUAAUCUUCGAAAUCUCCGGAUUCGGGGAGAUUUAAGUUAUUAUCAAUUUUUGUUGUCCCAAAGUAUUUGCAGAUUGAGCUGCCUCGAGUCAUUGAAGUUGGUGAAUGAAAGCAAGAUGCCACGGAUCUCCAAAAUCAUCCUUGCUGAAUACCUAUUUCCUCAUAGUCUAACCCACUUGAGUUUUUCUAAUACUGACCUAAUGGAUGAUCCCAUGCCGACACUAGAAAAGCUGCCACUUCUUCAAGUGCUCAAACUGAAGCAAAACUCGUAUUCAGGUAGAAAGCUGACUUGUGGAUCUGAUGGUUUUCCAAGGCUUAAUGUAUUGCACAUGAAAUCAAUGCUAUGGCUAGAGGAGUGGACUAUGGGGACUGGGGCCAUGCCAAAACUAGAAUGCUUACUUAUCAACCCUUGUGCUUACUUGAAAAGGGUUCCUGAACAGCUCUGGUGCAUAAAGAGCUUAAACAAAUUCGAUUGCUGGUGGCCUCAGCCAGAGCUGAGACAAAAGCUACGGGAAUUCAAGGAUAAGGAGCAGUAUGGCGUUCAGCUUUAUCCUUACGGAAUUUGAUUAGCCCUGAUUGAGUUUCAUGUAAGUUUUUUCUUCUUCCCCAAUAACUUCAACCUUUAAUUAUUGAUCUAAUUUCAUAUAAAAGUUUUUUUUCCUCCACAAUAGAUUUGAUAGUAUGCAGCUGCCUAAACUAUAAUCAUAAUAUAAAGUGUUUUCUACAUUCUAAUUGUGGUUGCUUCUAAUUUUUGUCUCAACAUAAACUUGAAGUGUCCAUCACAGUUCCUGAUGCUGACACCAUUCAUUAAAAACUGUAUGAUAAGAUCUUCUAUCAGUUGUAUGUGCAGGUAAAAGCAGAGCGGAAAAUAUCUUAACUGUACUGCAGCCAAAGUUUCAAUUUCAACCAGAAUCCAGCCUUCAUCCUUUCAGUGUUCACUUCUGCUGAGUUGUCUACACGUUGUUUGGUUUCUUUGUUUUCAAGGAUUUGCAUGCUAAAGUAAUAAUGUCAUGUUCGGAUUAAUAUAUUGUACAAAAGUCUGAUUAAUUGUUUUACUUUCUAUUUUCAGUUUCACUGGUGUGUAUUCAAUUUGUCAACAUUCAAAUUGAUAUAUGUUAUGUUUUUAUUUUUAUUUUAUUUCUUUCUCUAGUUUUUAAGUAGCGGUACAGUUCAACUUCAAGCUUAGUACUUCAGUUAGAAGAAUAGUAUUUGUGCUUUGAUCUCAUCUCAUCAUCUCAACACAGGCAGAACGACAUUGUUGUUCGGUUUUUUGGAAUUUCACCGACGUGUCGGUCAUUAUAAGGGCGAGAAUGCUGGUCAAAAGUCAGUUGGGGUUAGUUAAAAAAGUGCAGGAAAAUUCUGGGAUUGUUAGAGAUGGCCUUUAUGAUAGUUUAUAAGGCUGGUUGAUGGGUCAUCUUCUCAGAUCUCAUCAAAGCUAUGGGGAGGGAGGGAGAGAGAGAGUUAAAGUAGAAAGUUGUAUAUUCUUGUUCUCUGUAACAAGCUCUACAUCCUGGUAACCUUGAUUUGCGACAUAGUGAAAGCUUGAAAGCUUGUAUCCUUGUUCUUCACUGGAUUUAGGCACUUUGAUUCAAUUUUUAGUUCGGAUUUCUGAGAACGAGUCUUCAUACAUCAAAUCAAAGAUGGUCUGAGGUGUUUGAUCUUGGUACUGUCAGAGGAUUAAACACAACAAAAAGAAACUGGGACAUAUUGCCUAAUCUUCAUAGUCUUGAGAUAUAUGGAGAUUAAGCCCUUGUCAAUUUGGGUUGUCCAACAACCCUUUUAAAAUCGAAAACCAGCACUAAUCCUUGGUGAUUUGGAGCAGAAGAUUUAACGAGUAAAGUUCCGAAAGUGGAAUCAUACCAUUACCAAAGCCCUCUUUUGCAGCAGAGAAAUCCCUUAUAGCCAUUGAGAUUAAUUGAUUAAAUGGAGUUGACAAAUGAAACAAAAACGAAAAAAAAAAAAAAAACUUCAAUUCUACCAAAAUCAUUCAACCAUUAAUACCCACUUUGAAUAAAAUUCAACAUCCUUUUUUCUAUCCCUUUCAGGUAAUAAGUUGCUUCUGUUGUUUUUAAUCUCAAUAAGAUAUAUAUCAUCGGCAUAUUGAAGUUUGUGAUUAUUCUAAGAAAAAAUAGGUGCUUUAUUAUUUGAAUUAUCGACAAAAUAAUUCCAUUUCAUUAUUUUGUUAGAUCCACUAUAUGUACAUGUUUGAAUCUUAUUCACAAGUUUUGAUUUCACUCUCACGUUUCAUAUGAUGUCAAAUCAGAUAAAAAGAAAAAAAAAAAUGAAAGCUAGCUUGUCGGUAGCAAUUACAUUAGCAUUUAGCAAAUGUUAUUUUGAGUACAAGCACAAUUUGGCUCAUUUUCCAGGACCAACUAUCUUCCAUUUAGAAAUGCAUUGACAAACAGAUUAAUUGGUAAAAUGAUGGUUUCUAGAUAGAAUCUUUCCAAGUUGCACUAAACUCCUUUCCUCCAAGCUAAACAUUAAUUAAUUUGCAUUUGAUAAAAUUUUUCUUUCUAUUCUUUUUGCAUAACGAUUGGUCACCAAUCUUGAUUCAAUUUUUUGAAUGGCAACUUACUGCUGGAUUAAUUAGAGAAUCAGACAUCACUCAUAAGGCAUCAAUCGGGUAAAGUUAUUUUCAUACAAUUACUUUCUUCAUAUCACAUCAGUCUAUACAAAUUUAUUUAUACAAGAUAGUUGUUACUCUAUCAUUAUUCAUCAAGAGAUCUAAAGAGAUAUAUAUAUAUAUAUUGGGGAUGGAUCAACAGCCCCCUAAAAAUACUCUUAAUUUUACACUAAUUAAUAUUUAUUAGAUUUGAAUUGAAUCAAUGGAUGUGAUUAAUUGAAAUUAAAUCUUCAAGACCUUUUAAUAUUCUCUCUCUCAAUGUGGUUCCCACUUAAAAUUUUUCUCACUCUUUUAUUUUUUCCCUUCGUUCACGUGAUGUGCUCUCUCUCUCUUCUCUUCUCUUGUUCUUUUUAAUCUAUGAUUUUUCGUUUGCUUUUUUCUUUCUUCCUCAGUCAUAAAAAGUCUUAACUCUCUCUAGCAAAAAUUCUUUACUCUCUCCAACUUUUAACUCCACAACUCUUUUUUUCACUUUUUUUUCUCUCUCCACAUACCAUUUGAAAGCACAAAAUUAUUAAUUUUAACCAGCGGAACUAGUCCCCCAGCAAAACAAUCAUCAAACUCAAGUUUAACAAAAAAUUCUUGUGAAAAAGGAUGUCUAUUGACAACGACAUGGCAUUAGAAGUUUUUCUUCAAAUCUCAAGUAUAGAUUUGAUUGGUACAAAGAUUUACCACAUAUUAUGAAUAAAAAUAUUAUAAUCUUAAGUAUAUGAAAAAAAUAUGUGCGAAUGGGAAUAUGAUCUCUACUGUAUAUUAUGAAUAAAAAUAAAGAAAGAGAAAAUAAUAGCAAUUUUGAGCAAACAAAUAGAAACCUUGCCUUAUGCUAUUUAAAAUUAAUAGUAUUACGUCAUAAUUAAUUUGAGAAUUUGCUUUAAGUGGUCCAUAAAGUAAGUCCAAAAUGACUGAAUAAGACAAAAUUACAGAGACUUCUUUAACCAAUGAAACAAGUUGGUUGCUUCAAUAUUCCUCGUCAAUGAUUUUGGUGCCCAACUCCUUGAGUCCUCCUGGAAGGAUUUCAACAACAAUGCUACGCAAAACUGACAAUAAAAGAAAAUAAGAGGGGAAACGAAUGAAAACAACAAUGAAGAAAAAUAAGUACCAUCAAUGGUCUGCAGGAUACAACUUAAGCCUAUAGCUUGAGGCAAUCACUAUGCACAAUAAAACUCAAAUCACAUAUACAAGUGAAGAACUAAAAAUUGAAGAAGUUGGCUAUUAAACAUAUAAAUUUCAAUGAACAUAAUCAAUCAAAAUCUAAGCAUACUUACAACAAUUCUCUUCGUGAUUAUAUUGAUAUCAAUUUAACUCAUUUCUUCAUUCCGUAAUAUUUUUGCAAAUAAUCAAAAAUAAACUUUUUAGAGAGAUCUUUAAUAUUGAAAGGUAAUUAUUACAAGAUUUUAUUUACAAUUUACCUAGAUUUGAUAUUUCAAUGCUUUUUCUACUUGGAUUUAAAGGACAAAUACGCUUAUCAUGUCCAAGUUUGCCGCAUGAAUUGCACUUCCUCUUCUUCUUGCCAAGAGCCAACUCAAUACCACUUUUGAUUCUGCCAGUGUUGUUAACAUCUUUCUUCCGACCCUUGGUUUGUGAAAUAUUUGGAUCCAAAAGUAAUGGCUGAGAUGAACUAAUGCUAAAACAAGGAUCAUCUUUCUGUUGGCAAACAGUGGCUGGUUGGUUUGAAAUAUCUAACAACUUUUUUGCUAGCUCAUUUAUACCAUCCAUGUAAAUCAAGUAUGCCUCAUUUGAAGAUGCAACAGCACAUGCUAAUUUAGUAGUUUGGUGGCACAUAUGGCUUAGUCUCAAAGCCUCUAAUUCUUCUUUACCAUCAUUUUUCAAAAAAUCUCUCAAAUCAAUCUUUCUAAAUUUAUUUGCCUCUUGUCUCCAUCUUGGAAGAAUAAAAUGAUUCGGCAGCUUAUCAAUGUCUAAACGAACAAACACUUUCAGCAUAUGUCUGCAAAGUAUUCCAACGAACUCAAAUUUUUUACAAUCACAAGUACCCUCAUAAGUUUACGGAUUUAACUUCACCAUAAACUCUUCAGAUUCUCCAAACUUUGUUCUCACUAGGUACUUGAGAAAUUCAGCAUCACAUCCACUCUCUUCAACUUUGUAUCGAUUAACAUGGCUCCAUUCAUCCUUGAAUUUAUUAAAAACAUUUAUGGUAUACAAUUGGGAUGCAUGUUUCAAAAGAAAUUCUCCAUCAUUGACAAUUCGAUAUUUAUGUUAUGAUUCAAAAUCUUCAUCACUUUCUUUUUCAAUAAUCCUUUUCAACGCUCCUUCAUAUUUCACAACAAACUCUCUAAGAUUUGUCGAGGAUGUUACAAAACCAUUAAAGAAUGAAUUAAUGCCCUCACUCCGUCCUGUAGUAUUCAUUCCAGCAAAAACAAUACUACGAUUAUAAAUAGGUGCCCAAGAAGCUUGUAUUUCAUAUAGAUGAUUUAGCCAUUCAUUGUCUUCCAAUUUAUAUUCUAUAAUCAAACUCUUCGAAGUUUCUUCAAAUUCCUCUACUUUGUAAGUAGACAUAAUACAUUUUUUUCAAUCCGAUCUUGAAUCUUGACUUCUUGAAGUACACAUAUGACAACUUCUCGGCAAACUUCUUCUUAAUAUGCCAAAGGCAUAAUCGAUGGUGAGUAUUUGGAAAAACUGUCACAAUUGCUCUUUUCAUUGCCAAGUCUUGGUCAGUAAUGAUAGAAACUGGAGGAUGUCCUCCCAUAGCUUCAAGCCAUGUCUCAAAAAGUCACUGAAAUGUUACCUAUGUUUCAUCUUGUAGAAGUGCACAAUCGAAUUGUAUUAACUGUAAGUGGUGGUUCACUCUUGUGAAUGGUGCGAACGACAUAUCGUACUUGUUUGUUCUAUAAGUUGUGUCAAAUGAAACUACAUCCCCAAAACAGUGAUAUGCCAACCACGAUCGAGCAUCUACCCAAAAAAAUUUGGUUGCUUGCCCUUUUUCAUCACAUUGGAUUGCAUAAAAAAAUUUGAGGGUUCUCAGCUUGCUUUUUCCUGAAAUAUAUAAGGAUUGAUUGGGCAUCCCCUCCAUCCAAUUACCUAUGACACACAUUCCUUAAGUGAUUAUAGCAAUCUCUGUUGUUAAAGCCCAUUUACGAACCUCCUAGAAUUGAACAAACUUUUGCAAUAGGCAAAUUUUCUCUAUGAAAAGCUUCAGUCAAAUUCUUAGCAGCUUUAGGCAUGUGUUUGUUUGACUUCAUCUUUAUUCUUCUAGCAGGAGUAACUACUUUAUGAUUGUGAGAAUCCUUGAAAACCAUAAUCUUCCACUUAUUUGACCAUUUGUCAUACAUAACCCGCAUACUAGCUUCACACCCACAUUUGACAGUUGAACAAUUUCUACUUCUUUUUUUUUUUUUGUAUUUACCUCACUUGCAUCUUUUUCAUAGUGUUCUUCCAUAAAAUUAGGCUUAUUAAUCUUUGGCACAUGCUUCCCUUGAUGGGCAAAGUAAAUUGUCCACUAGUCACCUCAUUGCAGCCUACUCUACUCUUGGAAGAAGAUCGAGUUCGAAUCCAAAACCCCUCCUAUCUACCAUAAUCUUCAUAGUAGUUUCUAGCUUGCUCUAAUGUUUCAAAAAGCAUCCCCACAUAUGGUGCCUCUAAUUGUUCAAGAUUGUUUUCAACCUCUUCGCCAUUGUUCCCCUGUAAUGUGUCAAACAAUUGAAAGAAAAAUAAAUAAUAUAUAAAAAGAUAAAAAUAUUGAAAAAAUUACGAGUUAGAAAAGUUAGGUAAAAUUAAUUGUAAAAAAAAAUAAAUAAAUUAUAAAAGCAUGACACAUACCAAAUAUUCAUUAUUUUCAGGCAUUUUCACGAAGAGUUGUGGAGUUAAAAGUUGGAGAGAGUAAAAAAAUUUUGCUAGAGAGAGUUAAGACUUUUUAUGAUUGAGGAAGAAAGAAAAAAGCAAAUGAAAAGUCAUAGGUUAAAAAGAACAAGAGAAGAGAAGAGAGAACACAUCACGUGAAGGAAGGAAAAAAAUAAAAGAGUGAGAAAAUUUUAGGUGGGGAUUACAUGCAGAGAGAGAAUAUUAAAAGAUUUUAAAGAUUUAAUUUCAAUUAAUCUCAUCGAUUGAUUCAAUUCAAAUCUAAUGGAUAUCAAUUAGUGUAAAAUUAAGAGUAUUUUGAGGGGGCUGCUGAUCCAUCCCUAUAUAUAUAUAUAUAUAUAUAUAUUUUAUCAUGAUGUCUUUUAAUUAUUCAUUGAUUUGCAUGCUAGGACUACCACGUGAUGAGAGGGGAAGGGAAGGAGUCACGUUGCCCGAGGCAGCUAAACAACAUAUUCAAAACCUUCACGCAGAGAUACGAAAUCGUUACUUCUUUGUUGAGUGCCUGUGGAAACAACACAGCUUGGAUUAUGCUGCGAUCAAAUGCUGAAAAAGAUCAAAAUUGAUAGAGAAUUAGAAAAAGAUCUUCAGCCCAUUAUUGAAUUAGACUGUUAGCUCUCUCAAAUAGACUUGCUCACAUCGUUCCAACUGAAAAAUGGAGAGAACAUUGGGCUUAAUUUAAUGCCUGCAGGAGUACCACUAAAAGUUACCGAUGGCCUUUUCUCAUCUUAUACCAUGGAAUUGUGUCAUUAGAAAAGAAUUGACUAGAUACUUGGCAUAUCUCCAGUGGGUAUUAAAUGUUCGCAUAUUCCACAUUUUAGGAUUCUAUACCGAUCUGACCUACUACAAUUAUGUAAUUAUGUGUUAUUAUAUGAAAUAAAAUAAUGUAAAUCUUGACUGUAUAUAAAUAAAAAUACACAUAUAUCAGAAGAUUCUUCAAAACCCAGAUAAGUUCAAAUUAAAAGAGGAUUUAAUACCAUCUCACAUUACCUUUUUUCUUGAAACCUUAUUUUCUCUACACGUCUGUCUUUCGUUUUUAUUUCGAGAUAUCAAACAGGCAACUGUAUCAAUUGUGGGUAGCUGAAGGUUUCAGUUCAAACAAUAAUGAGUCAACUGCUGAGAAGUUCUUGGAACAACUUGUAACGCCACAAAUUCCCAUACAUAUUAAAUUAUGGAAAUUGGGCUUUCAUUGAGAAUUAUGGGUGGCCUAUAACCCUUAUUUAGAAAGGGGUACUAAUUAAAUAGAGGUUAUUUAUGAGAUCAUUUUGGAAAAGGGCUAGUUUUCCUUAUUGAAUAGGGUUUCUUAAGAUCCCCUAUAAAUACAUACUUUUCCCCCUUCCAUAACCCUAAGUUCACAACGUUUAUCCUUCUUCUCUGCUGCUCUUUACGCUCCUACCCAAAUCUUAGGAUUCAAACCUUUGUUUAGGAGAGACUCAAAGCGACGGGUAAGUUCACAACGUUUAUUCUGAACAGCAUGAGUAUCUCGAAUUUUUAAAGCUAUAUUUUCUGAACGAAUUUUCUUAUAAAAUUUAUAUUUCUGGAAACUAGACAUGUAGGGCUUCUUGAUUAAAUUUUAUUUCAUUAAAUUCAACUUCGUUUUCAAUUUUAUACGUAUUUUGGAAAUAGAAACCACUGCACUGGAAAUCCACGAUUCCAGUAUUGUGAUCAGAUUCAAAAGACUAUUUGUACCACCAAAUGAACUCAAAAAAUUCUGAAAGUUUAUAUGUAUGUUAAUAUAUGUGUCUAGGAUUCGCAGUUUUAAUUUCAUAAUUUUCUGAUUAGUAUUUUAUUUUAUAAAAAUCACGGAACCCAUUCUGUUUGGUUUAGAUUAUGUGAAAACAGUUUCGAAUUUGCUGAGAAGUAAAUAGUUUUUAAAAUGUUUUUGAUAUCGGAUUCUCUUGUAAAUUUUACAUGGGGUACUCAUGGAUGUCCAGAAUGGUUCCAUAGGAUUUUAUAUCAUUCUGAGACUUGGAUUAAGAGUUAAAAUUCUGAGAAUCAGACCUGUACGGGUAUGAAUUAGAAAAUCAAAUUCUUAGAAUACGUUAUUGAUUGUCAUAUCUUGUAUUUGUUUAAGGUUUUGAAGGUGUUUGAGGCUCUUAGAAGCUUAGAGGUGUGUUAAUCCAAGUUCAUUUGUCGAGGUAAGUAACUUCAUUCCUAGUAUACUGGAUAUGUAUAAGUAUUUUGAUAUUAUUGUUAUAAGUAUAAAUGUUUUUAUACUACUUAAAGGAUUAAUUGAUUUUGAUAACAAAAUUAGCUUUAUGUAAAUGUUUUCAAACCAUUCUUUUUAACAAAGUAUUUUAUAAAUGCUUUUUAAUAUGUAAAUGAUUUUAUGACAUGACAACCUUUUAUGAUUUUAUCUUUAAAAUGUUAUGCAAGCCUAAAUUAUUGUUAUGAACUUUUAUGAAACUGAUAUGAAUGUUUUGUACCUAUGUUUGAUUUCAAUUAUUGAUGAUUGUAUGAGAUUCUUAAUGCUUUGGCUCAUUGUCCAUAGUUAGUCUGAUUCUGAUUCUGAUUCUGAUCGUAAUAUACGAUAUAUCCGUCUGGACCAGUACUGGGUUUUUGUUCUGAAUGUACACACGAUAUUCUAAUUAUGUUUCUGGCCGGGUCACCGGGACUAUAGGUGACACUAUGUGACAUGAGCUAACCUGUUUGUUUUCUGUAUACGUAUUACAUGAGUUGAUUCGUAAGUAAAUAUGCUUUUGAAUAUUCUGAAUUAUUAAGAAUUUAUCUUAUGUUAUUGUGAUAUAUCGUUUUAUGAAAAUUAUGGAUUAUGAUAUAUGCUUUAAACAAAAGAAGGCUUGCAAUAUUUUUGGUAUCAAUAGGCCUAGUGUGUUAGGAAUGGUUUUACUUACCGAGUUGACGGCUCACCCCUCGUCAUUACUUUUUUGCAGAUUAAGUUUCUUUUGAGAGGUGCACUUAGCUUUGGAGUUAAUGAUUUCCAGUUUCCGUUUGCUAUUGAAUAAGAGGAGGAAUAGACUUGUGUUUCUAUUUAGUUACUUUUAUUAUGAACGUGUAAUUUGGAGUUUGAGACUUUUGUUAUUAUUUUUAUAUGUCCUCGAGAGAGAUUAUUUAGUAUUUGACGUUUGGAUUUAUGGAUUUAUUUGAAUAAGAAUUGGAGGAAUUUCAGUUUGAAACUUAUGAGUAAAGAUUAUGAUUUGUGAGUAACCUCCUUCUUCACGUGCUCCGCACGUGUUAGAUUUGGGGUGUUACAAUUGUGGUAUCAGAGCAACUAGGUUAGGAUUCUGUAGACUUUCUUUUACGGUUUAAUUAGAUUGUCUAAUUAAAUCGAUUACAUUUGUUUUGUAGACAUGAAGAAGGACAAUAUGGGUAUGAAAAGUGUCAAGAAUAAGGGAUGGACAGAAAUUGAUAGGACCGAACAAUUUAUCUUAGGAGGAGUUCUUGUCAAAGAUCUUAGGAGACUUCAUAAGCAGUGAAUGGAUGAUAGACUAAGACGGACUAUAGAGGUCUACAUCGAUACUCCUCCAGGACCUGGAGCUUCAAGAAAGAAGCUCAAUGAGGCUAUACGUGGACUACGUGUUUAUGGCAAGGGAGCUAACAAGAAUAAGCUUGUAAUACGUCGCCUAUUUUGGACAGGACCUCGAUUUAAGCCUUACUAUAGCAAAGGAUGGGUAUCUCCAGGUCUAAAUAAACUACCUUAUAGAACUCCUAAGGAAAUCGAGACAGAUGGAGUCACGACUAAGGAAAGGAAAGUAAAGAUAGAUCCUUUUCCUAUCCGGUUGAGUACACCUAUGAACUUUGUGGCUGUAGGACAUGAAACUCUGUAGACUUUAUUAAGGUUAAUAGAGUGAUUAAAUAUUUUAAGGCAAGGAGUAACUAGUAAUUCUAUUUUGGUCUUUUUGGCUUUCUAUGUUGCUUGUGACUUUGUAAUAACUCUUGUUAUAUGAUCUUUGGUAUUAACGUAGAAUGAAAUAUUUAUUGCUCUUGUUUACAAUAUCAAAUUUUCUUAGCUACACUACUUAUUCAGUACUCUGCGCGCUUGCACGACCUUUAGCUAUGAAUUAUUUACCCCUUUUUAAUUAUUUAUUUAUUCUCCGUGUUAUAGUCAAGAGAUGUCACGUAAGGGAGGUGCUAGGCAUGCCUCUAGCUCGAGAGAUGUUUUAGGUAUCGCUGACGACGCUGACCCAACCUUGCACGAGAUGGCUAACGAAGGAAAUCCUAUGAUGCGCGCAAUGCUUAGAUUGAUGGAACAACAAAGUAAGUUAAUUCAAGAUAUGGCUAGAGGCAGAGUUGGGGCACAAGAGAAUGUGCCAGUUGAAAGGCAAGGUGGCGCAAGAGAUCAUGGGGCUAUGGUGAACUUAGAACGAUUUAAGAAAUUGGGACCACCUACCUUUCAGGGGACUGCCGAUUCCAUGGUUGCAGAGGCAUGGCUAAAACAGAUGGAGAAGAUAUUUGUGGCUAUGGGUUGUAAUGAUGAUCAAAGGGUAAUAUUAGCCUCAUUUGUCCUUCAGGGUGAGGCAGACCACUGGUGGGAUGCCAAAUCUCGUCUCAUAAGGGCUGGCUUGCAAGAUGCACCCAUUACUUGGGAGUUAUUUUUGGAGGCUUUUCAUGAAAAGUAUUUUCCUGAACGAGUUCGACAUCAGAUGGAGGCUGAUUUCUUGAGGUUAACUCAAGGAACAAAGUCUGUUGCGGAGUAUGAGGAACAAUUUACUGCCCUCUCUCGUUUUGCUCAUACCUUGGUUGCUAAUGAAGGUAGUAAGUGUAGGAAGUUCCUGGAAGGGUUACGUCCUAACAUUAAAGGGCGAUUGACCAUCCUUAAGAUUAACAAUUAUGCCGAUUUGGUGGACCGAGCAAUUCUUGCGGAGAAGGAUAUUCUUGAAGCCCAAGUUACAAAGGAUCAGAGAAAUAAGAAGAAUCAACAAGGUGGACCGCGAAAUGGAAGUUCCUUUAGGCAGGGCACUCACUCCCAGAAGUAUAAUGGUGGAGGUAACAAAUGGGAUAACAAGGGUGUUACUGGUGACACCGCUCGGAGGAACUACCCCAUUUGUCGACAUUGUGAAAGGAGGCACCCUGGUGAAUGCCAUUGGAAAACUGGAGCUUGUUUUGCUUGUGGAGAAUCUGGGCAUAGGAUUAUGGAUUGCCCAAAGAGACGUAGCGAGACUACAAAUACUCAGACUAACGAAGGGCAGAGGAAGAAACCGAGGGUACAAGGGCGUGUUUUUGCACUAACAGAAAAAGAUGCUGAGGUGUCCAAUGAUGUAGUAUCAGGUACAUUGUCUUUAUUCUCUAGAGAAGCCAAAGUUCUUUUUGAUCCUGGUGCUACACAUUCAUUUGUAUCUUGUGUGUUUGCCCGUUAUGCUAAUGUGCCUAUCACACCACUGGAUGUUCACGUGACAAUUAGUACCCCUAUGGGGGAUUGCUAGUUUAUAGAUCAUGUCUAUAAGUCAUGUGUGAUCAGAUUGUGUGAUAAAGAAUUCCUUGUGGAUCUCCUACCUUUAGAGAUGCACGAUUUUGAUUUGAUUUUGGGGAUGGAUUGGUUAGGACCUUACCAUGUUUCAAUAGAUUGUUUUGCUAAUUAAAUUAUUUUUCGCCUACCUGGCGAGGAAAAAUUUCAUUUUCAAGGGAAUCAUAAGAGUCAUAAAGCUUUGAUUUCUAUGGUUAAGGCAAUGAAAAUGCUAAAGAAGGGGUGUGAAGGAUUUUUAGCGUAUAUAGUUGCUGACCAUCCCGAUGGGGCGUGCCUUGAAGACAUACCUAUUGUAAGGGAGUUUAUUGAUGUAUUUCCUGAAGAUCUUCCGGGACUACCCCCAGAUCGAGAGGUUGAGUUUACUAUAGAAUUAGUUCCUGGUACUACACCUAUAUCCAAGGCACCAUAUCGGAUGGCACCCAUUGAAUUAAAAGAACUAAAGGUCCAGCUACAAGAAUUACUAGAUAAGGGUUUCAUUCGUCCUAGUGUGUCGCCUUGGGGUGCUCCCGUUUUGUUCGUAAAGAAGAAAGAUGGUUCAAUGAGGUUGUGUAUAGACUACCGGCAGUUGAAUAUGGUUACCGUCAAGAAUAAAUACCCUCUUCCCCGAAUUGAUGACCUCUUUGAUCAAUUACGAGGUGCAGCGGUAUUCUCUAAAAUUGAUUUACGAUCUGGCUACCAUCAAUUGAAAAUAAGAAGUGAGGAUGUAUCGAAGACAGCUUUUCGAACUCGUUAUGGACACUAUGAGUUCUUAGUUAUGCCUUUUGGAUUAACUAAUGCUCCUGCAGUGUUCAUGGAUUUGAUGAAUAGGAUCUUCCAACCUUAUCUUGACCAGUUUGUCAUCGUCUUUAUUGAUGACAUAUUAAUUUACUCUAAGAGUAAGAAGGAGCAUGAGUCGCACCUGAGGAUUGUAUUAGAAACAUUGCGGAAGAAGAAGUUGUAUGGAAAAUUUAAGAAAUGUGAGUUUUGGCUUGAUCGUGUGAUGUUUUUGGGACAUAUAGUGACGAAGGAUGGUAUUUCAGCAGAUCCAGCCAAAGUGGAGGUAAUUGUGAAUUGGGAAAGGCCUGCUAGUGUGACUGAAGUAAGGAGUUUCUUAGGAUUGGCAGGUUAUUAUAGGCGCUUUGUCAAAGGAUUUUCUAGCAUAGCAGCACCAUUGACUAAUUUGACUAAGAAGAAUGUGAAGUUCAAUUGGGAUGAGGCAUGUGAAAAGAGCUUUUAAGAGCUCAAGAGUCAUUUGGUGACUGCCCCCGUUUUAACUCUCCCUUCUGAAGGUGGAGGUUUUGUGAUUUACAGUGAUGCUUCCAGAAAAGGUUUGGGUUGCGUUUUAAUGCAACAUGGUAAGGUUAUAGCAUAUGCUUCUAGGCAGCUAAAGAAUCAUGAACAAAACUACCCAACACAUGAUUUGGAAUUGGCUGCUAUAAUGUUUGCUCUAAAAAUCUGGAGACACUAUUUGUAUGGGGAGACUUGUGAGAUCUUCACCGAUCAUAAGAGUUUGAAGUACUUGUUUACUCAAAAGGAAUUGAAUUUGAGGCAAAGAAGAUGGUUGGAGUUGGUAAAGGAUUUUGAUUGUUCUAUUAAUUACCAUCCAGGUAAGGCAAACGUAGUAGCGGAUGUCUUGAGUAGGAAAUCAUCUGGGUGCAUGGCUCAUCUUAUCACCAUGCAAUCUCAUUUGGUAAAAGACUUGAGGAGAUGUGGGAUUGAGGUAGUUACUCAUGGGCAAGCAGACGUGUUAGCACAUUUGACAGUCCAACCCACUCUAAUUGAUAGAGUUAAGGUAGCUCAGAAGAACGACAUAGAACUCAAUAAAAUCCGUGAAGAUGUGAGCAAAGGACAUAAGCCCGGAUUUAGACUUGAUAAUGGGGAUGGAUUAUGUUUGGGACAAAGGUUAUGCGUGCCAGCAGACGAAGAGUUGAAGGCGGAGAUCUUAAGAGAAGCUCAUGAAUCAUCUUACAGUAUGCAUCCUGGUAGUACUAAGAUGUAUCGUGAUCUAAAGCAAAGUUUUUGGUGGAGGAAUAUGAAGAGAGAUAUUGCUGCUUUUGUGUCUCGGUGUUUAGUCUGCCAACAAGUAAAGAUUGAGCAUUAAAGACCAGCAGGAACUUUACAAACGCUUCCUAUUCCUCAGUGGAAAUGGGAACACAUAACAAUGGAUUUCGUUUCUGGAUUACCUCGUUCUAGGAGGGGAUGUGAUUGCAUUUGGGUAAUUGUUGAUCGAUUGACGAAAUCAGCUCAUUUCUUGGCAAGGAAGAGUACAGACAAUGUAGGGCAACUAGCUAAGUUGUUCAUUAAGGAGAUAGUGAGGCUUCAUGGGGUUCCAGUGUCAAUAGUGUCUGAUAGAGAUCCACUGUUCACUUCAAGAUUUUGGGCUAGCUUACAUAAAGAGUUGGGGACGAAAUUGAGAUUUAGCACUGCUUUUCAUCCACAGACAGAUGGGCAAUCCGAAAGGACUAUUCAAACCCUUGAGGAUAUGCUUCGAGCUUGCGUCCUAGACUUGAGUGGUGGUUGGGAAGAGCACCUAAUGUUGAUCGAAUUUGCUUAUAACAAUAGCUUCCAUUCGAGUAUUGGCAUGGCACCAUUUGAGGCAUUAUAUGGAAGAAAGUGUAGGUCCCCAAUCUGCUGGGAUGAAGUUGGUGAAAGAAAACUUUUGGGUCCAGAAUUAAUACAGAUUACUGUUGAUAAAAUCAAGUUGAUUAGAGGACGUCUUCAAACAGCUCAGAGCAGACAGAAGAGUUAUGCAGAUCGUCGUAGACGUGAGUUGGAAUUCGAAAAAGGAGAUUUUGUUUUCUUGAAAGUAUCGCCAUGGAAAGGGGUGUUUCGGUUCGGGAAGACAGGAAAGCUUAGCCCUAGAUUUAUUGGACCAUUUGAGAUUUUAGAGAGAAUUGGUCCGGUGGCCUAUCGCAUAGCUUUACCACCAAGUCUGUCUAGGCUUCACAAUGUAUUUCAUGUGUCUGUGUUAAGAAAGUACAUUGCAGACCCUUUACAUGUGCUAGACUAUCAACCGAUUCAGAUAAAUGAAGACAUGUCGUAUGAGGAACAGCCUAUUGAGAUUGUCGAUCGAGACGAACAAGUAUUAAGGAAUAGAGUUAUUCCCCUAGUGAAGGUACGAUGGAUGAAUCAUUCUAUUGAGGAAGCCACUUGGGAGAGAAGCAGAAAUGUUGGAGAAGUAUCCUCAACUCUUCCAUGCAUAAGGUAACCUUUUAAUUUCGAGGACGAAAUUUUUGUUAGGAGGGGAGAAAUUGUAACGCCACAAAUUCCCAUACAUAUUAAAUUAUGGAAAUUGGGCUUUCAUUGAGAAUUAUGGGUGGCCUAUAACCCUUAUUUAGAAAGGGGUACUAAUUAAAUAGAGGUUAUUUAUGAGAUCAUUUUGGAAAAGGGCUAUUUUUCCUUAUUGAAUAGGGUUUCUUAAGAUCCCCUAUAAAUACAUACUUUUCCCCCUUCCAUAACCCUAAGUUCACAACGUUUAUCCUUCUUCUCUGCUGCUCUUUACGCUCCUACCCAAAUCUUAGGAUUCAAACCUUUGUUUAGGAGAGACUCAAAGCGACGGGUAAGUUCACAACGUUUAUUCUGAACAGCAUGAGUAUCUCGAAUUUUUAAAGCUAUAUUUUCUGAACGAAUUUUCUUAUAAAAUUUAUAUUUCUGGAAACUAGACAUGUAGGGCUUCUUGAUUAAAUUUUAUUUCAUUAAAUUCAACUUCGUUUUCAAUUUUAUACGUAUUUUGGAAAUAGAAACCACUGCACUGGAAAUCCACGAUUCCAGUAUUGUGAUCAGAUUCAAAAGACUAUUUGUACCACCAAAUGAACUCAAAAAAUUCUGAAAGUUUAUAUGUAUGUUAAUAUAUGUGUCUAGGAUUCGCAGUUUUAAUUUCAUAAUUUUCUGAUUAGUAUUUUAUUUUAUAAAAAUCACGGAACCCAUUCUGUUUGGUUUAGAUUAUGUGAAAACAGUUUCGAAUUUGCUGAGAAGUAAAUAGUUUUUAAAAUGUUUUUGAUAUCGGAUUCUCUUGUAAAUUUUACAUGGGGUACUCAUGGAUGUCCAGAAUGGUUCCAUAGGAUUUUAUAUCAUUCUGAGACUUGGAUUAAGAGUUAAAAUUCUGAGAAUCAGACCUGUACGGGUAUGAAUUAGAAAAUCAAAUUCUUAGAAUACGUUAUUGAUUGUCAUAUCUUGUAUUUGUUUAAGGUUUUGAAGGUGUUUGAGGCUCUUAGAAGCUUAGAGGUGUGUUAAUCCAAGUUCAUUUGUCGAGGUAAGUAACUUCAUUCCUAGUAUACUGGAUAUGUAUAAGUAUUUUGAUAUUAUUGUUAUAAGUAUAAAUGUUUUUAUACUACUUAAAGGAUUAAUUGAUUUUGAUAACAAAAUUAGCUUUAUGUAAAUGUUUUCAAACCAUUCUUUUUAACAAAGUAUUUUAUAAAUGCUUUUUAAUAUGUAAAUGAUUUUAUGACAUGACAACCUUUUAUGAUUUUAUCUUUAAAAUGUUAUGCAAGCCUAAAUUAUUGUUAUGAACUUUUAUGAAACUGAUACGAAUGUUUUGUACCUAUGUUUGAUUUCAAUUAUUGAUGAUUGUAUGAGAUUCUUAAUGCUUUGGCUCAUUGUCCAUAGUUAGUCUGAUUCUGAUUCUGAUUCUGAUCGUAAUAUACGAUAUAUCCGUCUGGACCAGUACUGGGUUUCUGUUCUGAAUGUACACACGAUAUUCUGAUUAUGUUUCUGGCCGGGUCACCGGGACUAUAGGUGACACUAUGUGACAUGAGCUAACCUGUUUGUUUUCUGUAUACGUAUUACAUGAGUUGAUUCGUAAGUAAAUAUGCUUUUGAAUAUUCUGAAUUAUUAAGAAUUUAUCUUAUGUUAUUGUGAUAUAUCGUUUUAUGAAAAUUAUGGAUUAUGAUAUAUGCUUUAAACAAAAGAAGGCUUGCAAUAUUUUUGGUAUCAAUAGGCCUAGUGUGUUAGGAAUGAUUUUACUUACCGAGUUGACGGCUCACCCCUCGUCAUUACUUUUUUGCAGAUUAAGUUUCUUUUGAGAGGUGCACUUAGCUUUGGAGUUAAUGAUUUCCAGUUUCCGUUUGCUAUUGAAUAAGAGGAGGAAUAGACUUGUGUUUCUAUUUAGUUACUUUUAUUAUGAACGUGUAAUUUGGAGUUUGAGACUUUUGUUAUUAUUUUUAUAUGUCCUCGAGAGAGAUUAUUUAGUAUUUGACGUUUGGAUUUAUGGAUUUAUUUGAAUAAGAAUUGGAGGAAUUUCAGUUUGAAACUUAUGAGUAAAGAUUAUGAUUUGUGAGUAACCUCCUUCUUCACGUGCUCCGCACGUGUUAGAUUUGGGGUGUUACACCACCCGUUUUUGUGGCCUUUUCCCGCUGGACGAACUUGGCGCCCCGGCCUUCAGGCACUUGCUCAAUUCCUUCUCUGCAAAUUUGAACGCUUGAACACGCACCGUCAUCCCAGUUCCUUGCAGUCGUCUCGAAGCCCCUGCUUUCAGUAGAGGAAAGACGAUUCUGUAUAGCCAUCAAACAGAUAAGAAAAUUUGAAACAAUCCAAGGUUUCUCAGAUCAAAUGAAACCCCAAGAUCAAUCAAGACCAAUGGAUGAUCUUGUACUUAGCUCUAAAACAAACAAGUAAAACCAUCGAAGAAAUUGGAUCAAAACCAGCAGGUUUAGAUUGAUUAUUUAUAAACAUCAUACUUGCCACACUCUUGGCGUGUAAAUCCUUAGAUUCACAGGUCUUAUAUCACAUGAAUGAAGAUGCUAGUGGUGUGCCUCCAUGGAUCUCUUAGUUUUCAAGUUGUUUUAUUUGACUGACCACCUAAGUUUGAAUCGUGGUGAGGGAAGAAGAUAAAAAUUAAUUUGAUCUUUGCACCUCACUACUUUUAAAAGAGCUCAAACUUCAGACUCAGUUUUGAAUUUUAAUUAUUUUAAAUUGAAACGCUAAUUCCAUAUAUUAUAUAUAUGAGUUUUUUUUCCCAAGGUUGAAUUAAAAUAUAUAUUUACAAAAUUCUCGAGAUAUGUGAUUUUUCAAGAUUUAAUAGAAUCAUAAGUACUAGUUAUAUAUACAUCUUAAUAAAUGUUUGCCAGACCUUUAUUUGUACUAAAAUUAUAUAUAUAUCUAGACUCCCAUUACACUUUAGAUUGUAACAAUUUAAAUAAAAAUAUUUUUUUUGGUGGAAGUCGUCUAGAAUUCUAAGAUUGAAAGUCAAAUUUCAAUAAAAAAAAAAUUAAUUUAAUAUAUAUAUAUAUAUAGAGAGAGAGAGAGAGAGAGAGAGAGAGAGAGCUUCUUAAGUGCAUAUACUUAAGGGAGUCCCUAUGUUACAUUUAAUGUACCAUACACAACCCACAAGAACCACAUAAAUUGUGGGAUCCACAUAAUUGUGUGGUUCUUGUGGGUUGUGUAUGGUACAUUAAAUGUACAUUAAUAUUAUGUGGUGUUAUAGCGAAUCUACACAAAAUCUGCAUUUAGUGCAUCCACACUUGAGAAUUUCUAUAUAUCAAAACUUUCAAAUGCAGAAGUCCAAAUAUAGAUUUCGUGCGGAUUCACUACAAAAUCAUAUGAUGUUAACAUGUUUUUACAAUUGACUAUAAUACCACAUGAUGUUAACAUGUUUUUACAAUUGACUAUAAUACCACAUGAUGUUAUAGAAAAUCCACACGAAAUCUAUAUUAUAUAAAGAGAGAGAUCUCGCUUUGCUUUAUAAUUGCGGUGAUAUUCCCACCCCUCAAAUGUUGUAAACUUACCUCACCUUAAAAAAUUAAAUCAUAAAAAAUUCACAUUAUUUUUAACGAUUUCAAAUUAGUAAGAAUAAAAUUAAGCAAUUGACUAAUUAAAUCCUCAUUAAAUAAUUAAAAUACAUUUAUGAUAUGAUAUUUCAAAAAAUUUAUGCUAUUUUUCUCAUGAAAUUUAUUAAAUAUAAGAAGGAUCUGAUUGAUUAAUUGUUUAAAAUUUUAUUUAUUUUAAAUUAAAAAAUGUGAAUUAUUUUUUAAAUAAUUCUUUGAAAUGAUUUAAAUGCGGCACGUGUCCCAUCAAGUUAAAACCUAAAGUUGAUUUAAAAACGGAAACCAAGUAGCGAGGCCCCGUUCUUCAGGAAAUUCCGAGCUAAGUUAAUCAACAUUUCCACUAAUUAUUUUUAUUUUCUUCCAAAGUUUAUUUAAUUAGAUCAAUUUCUGGCUUCCUACUUAAAUUGCAUAUCCAAUUUGGGGGUUGAUUUUUGGAGAUGGAGAUAAACUGAAACAUUAAUUGAAAUCGAUUGAGAAAAAAAAAAUCGAUUGAGAUUGAAAGUUCUUUAUUACCCAACAUACAGAAUACAUAUGCAAUUAAUUCAAAUUUCUAAAAUUACUGUAAUUGUUGGCAAUGUGGGUUUUUUUUUUCGUUGGGGGGGGGGGUGUCUGAAAUUUGCAUGCAUGCCUUAAUUGAGUUUUAUCACUUUAAAUCCUAAUUACUAAUGUUUUUUCUGUUAAUGGUUGAAAAUAAGAUAAGAAGAGAGAAGGUGAACUUGAAGAAGUAUAAGAAGACAAGACAUGUAAUGAUGUUGAUGUGUUUAUGUGAAUAAAGAGAACAACGGAGGUGGAACCAUUGGACAAAUGGAAAUGGAAUCUUUGUCCAAGUUUUUCCCUUGAUGUUCUAAAGUUUGCAUAUAUAUGUUUCAAGAAACAAAUGGAAAUUAAAUAGUACUUAAAGGUGAACUCACAUCGUCAACUAGAGGUUACACUACCAUUUGCCCAAUGGUUCCAUUUCUAUUAUCAUUUUCUUUAUUCACAGAAAUAUCAUCGGCCUCAUAUUCAUCAGUAUAAGAAGAGGGACAAGGACAAGGACAAGGACAGGGUGAGUCUAUUGUAAGACUACAGCAAAUCUACAAUUUAGUUUUAUUUUUGCUGCUACACCCAGGAAUCACUAGCAUCAACCACCUCCUUUAUUGCCCUUGAUUCAUUUUUCUCCUGAAGAUUGUUGACCUGAUGAAAUAACACUUAAAAUGAGGCUGCCUUAGACGAAGCAUAUAUGUUAAUCACCUGUUGUAAUCUCAUGCCAAAACAUUUCAGUUCCUGCUCAUAAAAUUAGUUACUUCAACCUUUGUCAUAUGUAUUCUCCACUGCUUCAAGAUACUUAGAUAGUGAAUGUGUCUAAAGUCCAACUCAAAAGAUUCAUUUGAGAAAAAAUUCUUCAGAUGGUCAUGUAGAGUUCUAAUUUAUCUCCGCAUCAUACACAAAAUACUUGAAACCUACACAUCAAUGAUCAAUGUUCAUCUUUUAUUGACAAUCCCAAUUCUCAAGUGUGUUUGGAAAGAAAUUAGAUUCACAGGCAUUCUAGAAAUAUCUGGUGUAUGUCAAUGACAAUGAUGCCAAGUCAUGUCUCAUGGCGUCCAAAAAAAAAAAAUGGUGAUGUAUGUGGAGGAAGAUCGUCAGCUCAAUUAAAACUACACCUCGGUCAUUUCUGGACUCGUCAACAAGAGGUAAUUUCUUACUUUGUGAACAAAUUUUGUGUCUUAUAAUUUUUUCCGUAUUUAUAUACUUACAUGCUGUUUUGUAAUUAUAUAGCCACCAAAGCCUGGACAUGGAGAUGUGUGUUUUGUUAUGUUUAGUCCAUUUAUAAGAUCACGUGUCAUGUGAUUUAUAAGUCUACUUAAUGGUUGCAAUCAAAUGAGUUCAUGUCCAGAUUUUGAAGUUAGUUAAUUUCAACAUAUAGCAAUGAUUGUAUCCAUUGCUUUUAUGAAGUUGCUAUGUUAUUGCUUCUUUAAUAAGUGGCAGGCAUGAUUUUCUAUUUUUCCACAGCUUAAAUUGUUAAAUAAUUGAUAAUGCUCUUGUGCUUACUCUGUUCUUUUCUUUUUAGAUAAGCUUUAUGGUCCCAGUGGAAUUGUUUUCACCCUUUCUUUAUUGACAGUGGAUGUAUAAAACAAAUUGGUCUUGAUUGAUACUUGAUGAUGUUGUAGUUAUUUCUCUUUGCUUUAUUCUUUUUGCAACAUAUGGAAGACUGAGUAUCGUGAGAUUCAUUUCCCGCACUGCUCUGCCUUGAUCUGUUCUAAUUUGAGAGUCAGCAAUCUUGAUUCAACUUCUUGGGUGGAGUACUAGCUAAGAGAAGGGAGGCAUGGGAGCCAGCACUAAUUUUUGAAUUGAGGAGAUAUGGGCAUCAACUUCAGACUAUUUUCAGAGAGGCUGAGAAGGGCGUUAGCUGGCGAAGAAGUCACAUUGCCUGAUGCUGCAAAACAACCUAUUCAGAACCUUUGUGCCGAGGUUGAAAUCGUUACUCCUUGGCUGAGGGACUUUGAAUAUGAUAUGUCCUGGCUUCUGUUGCAAAAAAAUAGGAGAAGAUGAAAUUGACAACCCAGACCUUGGGACCAGAAAUCAAUUGCUUUACAUAUGAAUCUGAGAAGGUCAUUGACACAUUCUCAACAGCAUCACUCAACAGAAGAGUCAAAGCAGGUGCAACAAGGACAUUUGUAAUGCUCUGCUAGGACUCCAGAGCAUAAUCAAUGAUAUAAAACAGCGGGUGCAACAACUUCAGUACAUCGUUUCCGGAAUCAUUGAUGAUUUCAAAAGUAUUGAAGAUGAAGCCGAUUAUUUUCCUGCAUCAUCAUCUUAUAAGAAUAGGGGCAUGGUGGGUCUAGAAGACAGAAUGGAGGAGUUGUUAGAUAUAUUGAUAGAGGGACCACCUCAGCUUUCAGUGGUGGCCAUCUUGAUAGCAUUGGGUUGGGCAAGGUGGCUUUCGCUGUAGAGGCUUACAGCAGCAGUGAUGUGAAGCAUUAUUUUAAUUGUCACACUUGGGUUCCAGAGCCUUACAGCUAUGAUGCUGAUGAUGACCAAAUAUUAGAUAUCAUUAUUAAGUUUCUAAUGCCUUCAUCUAGGUUGAGUGUAAUAAAGGAUAAAAUUUAUGAAAUGAAAAAAAAAUCUUCAUGAAUAUCUAAUGAUAAAGCGGCAUUUAAUUGUGGUUGAUGAUGUGUGGAGAAUUGAAGUGUGGGAUUUUAUUCGAGAAAUACUUCCGGAUAAUCGGAAUGGAAAUGGGGUACUAAUAACACUCAUUCAAAUUGAUGUCGUCAUCUCAUUUCAGUUCAAAAUCGGACAGAAUAUUUGGCUUGAUUUAUUGUCCACUAGAGGACCAUUGAGAGUUGUUUACCUUUUUGCUUAAAACUUUGUUUUUCUUACUUAUCUGUGUUUCCUGUACAACUGGAGGCAUCCACCAGGUAGUUUUAUCAGUUGUGGAUAUCUGAAGGUUUCAUUCCAGACAAUAGCGAGGCAACUACUGAGAAGUACUUGGAACAACUAAUGAAUAGAGUCUUUGUUGAUGCAAGGAAGAGAAGCGAUGGAGGCAGAAUCAACGCAUGCCCUAUUCGUACUCGUUGCUGGCCUUCAUUGUUGCAAAUGGCUCUCAAAGCAGAAUUUAUCUUUUCCCCUAUCCUGGAUCAAAAAGGUAAAUCAGAAAAAAAUGUCAAACGUGUCUAUGUUUUUUUUUUAAAACAGAGUGAUUUUGCUUACUUAGAUGAUUGUGACUUGCACCUGCAUUCUUUGUUGUACUUCAGAAAGCGACCACCUUGACCCCAUAGAUUGGGUGAAAAUCGGUUGAGUAAUGGACUUGGGAUCUCUUGUUCUCAGCCAAUUUCCAUCCAAAAUUGAAACUUUAUUUCUUUUGAUAUUUGAAGCUGGAUAUCCCUUCCCUCACAAGCCUGGCUUCAUCAUUAUUAAUAAAUCUCUGAAUCUGUACCCCAUAGCCAUGCCCUUUAGCUACAUAGUGUAAAUAUUUAGAGUCUGAAAAUACUAUUUUCUUCUUUCAUUCAUUCUACAAGUUACACUUAAAUAGAAUGUAGAAAACAAACUCCUAAUAGAUAUCCCUUAAUUGUAGGAUACUUAUCUAAGCUUGAAUUUUAAAAAAUGAUUAUCUAAAACUUUAUUUCGAUAAGACUUUAAAACUAAACUAAUUAUCUAAAACUUUAUUCUGAUAAGACUUUCAAACUAACUGAAAAAUCCUAACUUCUUAACACUCCCCCUCAAGUUGGUGCGUAGAUGUCAAUCAUUCCCAACUUGCUGACAAGAUGUCCAAAGUUAGUUUUGAGGAGUCCCUUGGUUAGGAUAUCAGCUAUUUAUUGUUUUGUUGGAAAAAAUAAUAGGCAGAUAAUCUUAUUCUCAAGUUUCUCCUUGAUGAAGUGACGGUCAAUUUCAACAUGCUUGGUCCUAUCAUGUUGUACUGGGUUAUGUGCAAUGUUGAUUGCUGCUUUGUUGUCGCAGUAUAACCUCAUAGGUAAAACUAUAGGUCUUUUCAAAUCCUCGAGAACUUGUUUCAGCCACAAUACUUCACAAAGCCCAUGUGCCAUAGCUCUAAAUUCAGCUUCAGCAGUACUUCGUGCAACCACAUUUUGUUUCUUACUCCUCCAAGUCACUAAAUUACCCUAUACAAAAGUGCAAUAGCCAGUAGUAGACUUCCUGUCUGUAACUGAACCUGCCCAAUCAGCAUCAGUGUAUACCUCAAUACCUCUCUAUUCUCUGUUUUUCUAAACAAAAGUCCCUUUCCUGGAGUACUUUUUAGAUAUAUGAGAAUUCUGUAAACAGCUUCGAGAUGUUCUUCCCGAGGAUGAUGCAUGAAGCGACUUACUAUACUGACUGCAAAAGCGACGUCUGGUCUAGUUUUAGAUAUCGUCGUGCAUCCACUAAGGCUUUUUCUCCUUCACAUAGUUUUAGAUUGUACUCCACAAGCGUAUCAAUUGGUUUGCAGCCACUCAUUCCAGUUUCCUUCAAUAAAUCAAGGAUGUAUUUCCUUUGUGAGACAACUAUACCUUUCUUGGAACGAGCAACUUCCAUUCCAAGAAAGUAUUUCAAGGCACCUAAGUCCUUGAUUUCAAAAUCAGUGGCUAGGCUUUGCUUCAAUCUGUCCAUUUCAACUAAAUCAUCUCCAGUGAGAAUAAUGUCAUCCACAUACACUAUAAGCACAAUGGUUUUACCUUUAGCUGAAACUCUAGUGAACAUUGUGUGAUCAGCCUGACUUUUUUUGUAACAUUGUCUAUUCACAGAUGUAGUAAAUUUCUCAAACCAAGCCCUAGGCGAUUGUUUGAGACCAUAUAAGGACUUUUGCAACUUGCACACAUUUGACCUAAAUUUUUCAGAGAAACUAGGAGGAGGAUCCAUGUAUACUUCCUCUUUUAAAUCCCCGUUGAGAAAUGCAUUCUUCACAUCCCAUUGUUGUAAUGGCCAAUUUAGGUUUGUAGCAAUAGACAAGAGAACUCAUACAGUGUUUAACUUUGCUACUGGUGCAAAUGUCUCUGAAUAGUCAAUCCCAUAGGUUUGAGUAAACUCCUUUGCCACUAGGCGAGCCUUGUAUCUCUCAAGUGAACCAUCUGAAUUGUAUUUGAUAGUAAAUACCCACUUGCAGCCAACUGUUGACUUCCCUUUAGGCAAAUUGACCACCUUCCAAGUCUGAUUCUUCUCAAGAGCAUUCAUCUCUUCAAGGAUAGCUGCCUUCUGUUGAGUGUUAGAAAAUGCAUAUUUAUAAAGGAGAAAACCAUCGUUUUACAUUUCAAGUCUUACUAACAACCCUUACUUUUAUGUAUUUAACCUUUUUGUGAUUUAAUUACAUGUGUUUUAUUUUAAUUAAGUAUUUUAUGUAUUUUAGGGGCAUCAUAGUCAUUUCACAAUAAACGAGAAAUCAGAUGGCAAAACGGACAUCACUUUUGAACUCAGGACGGUCGAAAACCUUAGGAUAAGCAUAAAAGGAAAAAUGGCACUGUUCACUUGUACGGUACUAUUCACGUGUACGGUACUGUAUACGUUACUGUUCAUGACACUGUUCACAUAGACGGAUGAUGACGUGGCAUUGACCGAUGAUGUGGCAUUGACUGAUGAGGUGUCACGAUCCUGUUGGACUAAAAUUCUUAUGUACUGUUGAUGGUGACGUGGCAGCAUAUCAGUGGACGAAAAAUCUCGCGUACGGUGCAUGCAUCACACAGGAUUAUUUUCAACCAAACCGCGUUACUGUUCAAAGUCGGGUCAAACCGUGUUACUGUUCAUCCGCGUGGUCAAACCGUGGACUGUUGACUGAUGACGUGGCGCAAUCCUGAGCGUCCAAACUAUUUUUAAUCCGAUGGCCAUGAUUUACACCAUGUAUCUAUAAAAAGGGGGCCUCUCCCCCCUAAUUUGAUAUCUCUGAAUCCAUUUUUGGGAUCCAUUUUCUGUAAUUCUCUCUCCAUCUUGUAUUUUCUAUGUAUUUUAAUAAAUUCCGAUUUUGCCCCUAGUUCAAUUAUGAGUGGCUAAUUUUCUUUCAAGCUUGGGUUGAAGGUGAAGUCUCAACAUGUGUCAUGGGCUUAAUUUGGUAAAUUUACUUUCUCUUCCCCUCUAGUUUUUGUGGAUGUUUUGACUUCUCGUCGACAAAUAAUACUAAUCUUGUCUAGUACCGCCUUGGUUUCACCGGCCCUCUAGUAUAAGGUUAUUAUUAUUUGGCACGAUAAGCCCUUAGCACCAUAUUGAUUAGAGCGUGGUUCAUGAGGUGUGGAUUCCCCCCUCAUGAUUUAAUUAGCAUUAAUACGGAUUAUUUAGCCCAUGAUGCAUGUUGAUACGGAUCCAGAUACCCAAGUACGUCAUUUCAAUAGAAUUAUCUUUAAUUUAUUCUCGCCAUUGCAAUUCCAAUUUUAGAAUUUAUUCUCGCCAUUUUAAUUUAAGUUUUAGCAUAUACCAAAUCAUUUCCACCAUAAAUCCAACAACCCAUUUACAAAAUUAAUUCUAUACACAAUUAAAAUCCACCUCCUCGUGGGAUCGACACUCGUCACCAUAGAUCUAUACUACAAUAGAUUCGUGCGCUUGCGAGUACAUUAAAAUUUGCACAACACCUUCCAUUCAGGUACACUUAGAGCAUCCUGUACAUUUUUUAGAAUUUCUACACUAGAAUGCUGUGAGGUAAAUGCAUAGAAAGGAGGUGAUAGGUUGUGAUAUGAAACAAAGUUAGACAAUGGGUAUUUGGCACACACUAUUAAAAAAAUGACUUUUACUGACACUUUGGAAAAAGUGUCAAUAAUUACCUAAUUAUGCAUCAUUUUCCGCUUUUUACAAAUAGAUGUCACAAAUUAUUAAUAUUAAUGUAUCAAUAAAUUAAAUAUCAGAGAUCGCUGAUACUUCAGUAUCAGAGAUUUAAAAAAAAUCAUUAAAAUUUGUUUUGAUUUUUACUCGAACCUGGACUUCUAAAACUCAAAACUUUUACGUUUAGAUCGCAAACCGCUGGACGCCAUAAAAUUGAAUUGGAAUUACAAUGUUAUAUAAAAUGUUGACAUAUAAAAAACCAAACCCUAAUUCCCCUUCUCCAUUGUGCAAUAGAGCCCAUGCCGCAGCCGCUGUGUAAUUUCCUUGUCUUUCUUGACUUCUUCUCUAUCGUGAAAGAUGGAGAAUGACCAAGCCCAAACGCCCACAUCCACGGCCGCGCCCAACCUCCACGGCCACGCCCAACCUCCACGGCCACGCCCACCCCCACGUCGUUGCCUCUAUCACUUUCGUUCAAGUGGUUCGACACUGCAGGUACUAAAUUAAGAAUUUAAAGCAUGUAAAACGAAAGUAAAACAUAUCCCAAACUUAGCAAUUGUCCCCAUCUCGCUGUCUUUUAUACACACAAAUCUCUAACCCAAACUCAAACCCAAAAUUGUCUCUUGCCUUUCUCUUUCUCUUUCCUUUUUCUCUUCUCGAUCUCUUCCUUUUUUUUUUUUGGUCCAUUCACAAACUCGUUCAUUUAACUCAAAUAGAUAAUAUAAAGCUAAAACCUAAAGUGAGGCUUUUCUUUCCUUUUUCCUUUUUUUCCCAAAUUGAAAAAUGGAUCAAAACAAUAAUCGGGGCUUCUUUCAGCAAAUUAUUUUUCUUUUUAUGGUCAAAUUUCACUUUUUUUUGUUCAAUAUUCGAAACCCAUUUGCUUGAAUUUGAAUAAAAUUAUUGAGAAAUUAGUUAAUUUUCUUGCUAUGGAAGAGAUACCGCACCUUAUACGUAGACAUGUGAAGGAGAUUUUCAAUGACUCUAAGGGCAAACAGGUUGCCUUGAUUAAGGCUUUAACUGUUGGUAAUGGCUUAAUAUUUUAUUUUCUUUGUCAAAUUAAUUAACAGGUUUUUUUAUUUUAGCUUAUGAUUAUUAGGGUUUUUUGUUAAUUUUAAUUUUCUGGGUUGUUGCAGAUGUUGAGAAACUCUACCAGUGUGCAGUCUUGGUAGGAUUUCUUUUCCAUAUCUAUUUUUUGUUUAUUUAAUUGUAAUUUGAAUUUUUUUCUUUUUUUCCUAUAUUUCUAUAUUAUAAAGAUUGAAUGGUUGUGUAUUUAGUAAUUAUUACAUGUUAUUUACUGCUCUGUUUCAUGUAAAGAGAAGCAAAUUAUGUUAUAGAAACCAACAUGUUUAUUUAUUUAUUUUUUUCGGUUGGAAGAUUUUUAAUAGAGUCAAUGACUAUGAUAUGAAUUACCUAAGUUCAUGCUUGUCUGAAUGUUUUGAGAUUGCACAAAGUUCAUGAUUUGUCUUUAAUUCAAGAAGAAAAUGCUUGUUUUUAGGUAGUUUUGCUUGUUGUAGCACUUGGAGACUUACAUUUUCUUUCUUCAUUUGCACGGUUAGUUUCGCUCUUAUUCAAAAGUUUAUGUGUUUCCUCACUUGCAUGGUCAUUAAUUCAUUCCAUGAUUUUUCUUCUAUAAACACACUUUUAUUUGCCUUUCACUAGUUUGAAGGACUUUAUUUUUUUUAAUUAAAAAAUUCCAAAGAUUGAAAUGAAUUGAAAUUGCUGCUAUAAUGUACUUUCUUUGCUGCUGAAGUUCAAGGAAUGUCUAUUUAAAUGAACUAGAACUUGAAAAAUCUUGUAGUGUUGUUGUACCCAUAGACUUCAUUUUUUUUCUUGCACAUUACACUUAUUUUGUUCAUCUUCUUACCUUCAAUUUGUCGUAGAGGUAAACAAUGCUUGACGGGAAAUGGAGGUUUGCAUUUACAGCGGCUGAAUCUCAUGAACAAGAAGUUGGCAAACUGAGGUCUAUAUUUUUUCCUCAAAUUCAUAGUUGAAUUCAUAGUAAGCUCAAAGCAAUUGAUUGAGGGAGAAAGUAAAUUGAGUUUUAUUUAUUAGUACAAUUUUUGUUAUUCAGUGCUUUACACUCUUCAUGACAACUUCUGCGAUCUUGUCCUAUUACCUUAAGGUACUACUGGAUAUUUGAGAAAAAAUUAAAAAUGAUUAAGCUUAUCUUUCUUUGAUGGUAGAAUUACAGUAUGUCUCCUCACUUAUUGUAGUUCAUCCAAUUUUAUUUUUGUUGCGCAGUCUGUGGAAAUCAGAGUACCACAUUUAAGAGUUUUUAUAAAAUGUCUCCUUUACCUUUCCUAUUAUUUAAACUAAUUUCAUGUGUUUUUCUUUAGUUAAUGAUUGAUUUUCAAGCAAUUGAAGGAAAGUAACUUGUAGAACCUCCUUCUAAAAUUGGUCUGGAACCUUUGUGUGCAAUGGUUAGUGAAAUCAUAAUCCGUGGCUUGUGUUAAUAUGCAUCGAUUGUGUGAAAACUAUUGUUUACUAUUUUCUGUGGCUGGUUAUUAACAUGAUUCACAGAUAAACAACAAUAGACUCAUACCCAUAUGCUUGCUUGCUUUCAACAUGCACUUUCUUUCUUUUUUUCUGUAGUUUUUUUUAUGCGUCUCUCUUUGAAGAAUAAUAUUAUUAGCUUACACGAAAAGGGGGAAAUUGCCGUUAUCUUGCUGCAAGUUUUGUCCCGGUUCUAUAGUUCUACUAUUUUGUAUCACCUUGGAUGACAUGUCGAGUGAAUCCUGAAACAUCAUUUGUCAACCUUUUGAUUCAGUAAUAAUUUAUUAAUUUUGAGAAAUUAGUUUCAUUUUAUCUUGUUUGUACCUAUAAUGCAUUGUGUUCAAUGUUCUUGAAAUUUUUGGGCAUGGCUGCAAACAAAUUUAGCAGUUUUUAAUAGCCAACUAUAGAGACACUUUAAAAUUUGUUUGGGUGAUGAGUUUUUAUGGUUUUGUAAUUGGGGUGAAGGGUAGCAAAUAUCAAUCUUGUCUAAAGAGCACUUGUGUAAGAUUACUUUUGAGUAUAGUGGGGCAGCCUAUAUUAGUAUUUUUAUGAAAUAAGCAGAAAAAGGAAUCCCUUUCUGCUGUUAGCAAUAAAAAUAAUUUUCAAAAAUGUAAAUACCAAGCUUUCUAGUUGUCACCGUUAUUUGCAAAGAUCUUUUCAAUGUAUUUGUAGAUCCCAACAUAUCUUGAUGCAUGAUCAAUUAGUAUAUGAUAGCAUGGGUGAUGAUCUUUCCAUUUGCUUCUCUUUUUCUAUUUUUUUUGGGCAUCAUCGUCUAACGUAAGCAGGCCUCCUCCAUGUUGAUUUUUUUUAAAGAGUUUGGAGCUUAUGCAUUCGCAAUUCUAAAACAUGGGCCAAUAUGCUUUCUACUUGUUAAUCUAUUUACUUAUUGUCAAUUUUGCAGGUUAAUUUUGAAGAUGCGCAGAGAGGUUUUGUAGAGGUUGGGAAGGUAUUUAAAACUUAAAGCUUUUAAUUCUUCUUUCCCCUGCUUAAUAUAUGUUUUCCCUAUAUAGUGUUUCAACAUGACCUGAUUUCAUGCCGCCUCAUUUAUUCCAACAUCCAUAAACACUGAAAUUGACCUGAUUAGUUUUUCUCCCAAAAAUCCAAGAAUUAUUUUUUUGUGGUAUACUAAUUGAUUUUAUGUACUUGUAGGUGGAAAAAGAAAAAUGAAGCCGCUUGUGGAUGUUCAGUGACAUUAUGUGCUUCUUUUUGUUGGUUAAUAUUUGUUGAAUCUUAGCUUAGUACUUUGUAGUUCAGAGCUUGUCCAAGACUUAAUUUAGUACUUAUAUUUGUCUUUUCCAAACAAUGAUGUAGUUGAAUUAUAUGAAUUUAAGUGAUGGAUUUGAGAUAUUUCUUAUGUAAUUGUGUUGCGAGAUUUUGUAUAUUUUAAUAUACUUUGAGUUUUCCUUUGGUUGUAAAACGAACAAGAAAAUAUAAUUAAAAUAAAAGUAUACUAUUAACCAAAAGAAUCAUAACAUCAUUGAAUACUGACACUAAAUGUUUAAAAUGACAUUAAUAAUUUUUGAUGUUAUUGAGUCAGUGUGUUCUUGAUAUUGUAGUCUCAUAAAUUAUUGACAUAAAUAGUAUCAUUAAAUACUAAUGCUAUCGUGUCAUUAUUUUAGUGAUACCAUAAUGACAUGAAUUACUGACACAAAAAUCAUUGACACUAAAAAUUAGUGUCAGUGUGUUUUGGCUGGAGCAUUAUUGACACAAUUAACAAGUGUCAGGAAAAGUAAUUACUGACACUAAAUUAGUGUCAGUAAAGUCCAUUUUUCUAGUAGUGACAACUUCUAGUACCUUUCCUAAGAGCAAUAGGUAUGUCCAGAUCACUAAGAACCUGAGAAUUUAAAUUUAACUCACAAGAAGGAUUAGAAUUACAAUUACCUGAGGAAGAAGAAGUUUGAUUUGACCUUGGAUUGGAAUCAUGGCCUUGCUGCAAAGUAGGGUUUUCUCUUCUUUGAUUAGUACCCUUUCUUGAGUAAACAAUAAACUCAGAUUGUUUAUUACCCUGUCUUGCACACAAAUCUGGUUCUAAUGGCACAUUAGAGGGCUGUCCAGGUUGAUUAGCAUUUACAUUAUCAGAUUUAGUGAGGUUUUCUUGUGGUUCGGGUGCAUUAGGUUCUAAUAUGGGAUCAAGAAUGGUAUAACCAGGUAUAGCAAUGUUAGGAACAUGUACAACAGUAUUAGGUUCAGGUAUGGCAGCCUCGAGACUUUUUUCUGGACGGAGGGAGUCUAGCACAGAAGAAAUAGAAGGGUUUUCUAGGUGAAUAGUGUUAAAGAUAGAAGGGGUUUCUAGGUGAGUAGUGUUAAAGAUAGAAUCUUCACUCCUAUUCUCCCCCUGAAGAUGACUAUCUACAUAAUAUCUUCGUUUUUCAAAAAAUGUAACAUCCAUGGUAACAAACAUUUUUUUUUAAAAUAGGAUCAAAACAUUUAUAACCCUUUUGUGUUGGAGAAUAUCCAACAAAAAUGCAUUUUCUAGCCUUUAGAGCAAGUUUGCCCCGAUUCUGGUUGUGAAUAUGAACAAAAGCAACACAACCGAAUAUUUUGGGCGGAAGUGUGACUGAAAUUCGUGAGGUAGAGAAACAUUGAUUAAAGAAAUCAGAUAGAGUUUAAAAUUGUGGAACUUUUAAAGGCAUUCGAUUUAUCAAAUAGGCAGCGGUGAGUACAGCUUCCCCCCAUAAAUACAUAGGAACUUGAUUUAUAACAAGUAAGGAUCUAGCAACUUCAAGAAGAUGCUUAUUUUUGCGUUCAGCAAUUCCAUUUUGUUGGGGGCUAUCCGUACAUGAACUUUGAUGAAAUAUGCCAUUUUCCACAAAAAAAUCUCCCAAAAACUUGUUAAAGUAUUCUUUCCCAUUGUCAGUUCGGAAAACUUGAAUUUUAGUUUGAAACUGAGUUUGUACCAUGUUGUUAAAAGUUAAAAAUAAUUCACACCUAUGAUUUUUCCUUCAUUAAAUAUACCCAAGAAAUAUGGGUAUGAUCAUCAAUGAAGGUAAUAAACCAUCUUUUUCCUGUUAAUGUAGAAAUUCUAUUAGGUCCCCAAACAUCACUAUGAAUCACAGAAAAAGGUUUUGAGGCUUUGUAGGGUUGGGAAGGAAAUAAUGCACGAUGAUGUUUUGCUAAUUCACAAAUUUCACAUUUAAAGGAAGAAGAACUUUUAUUAGCAAACAAGUUGGGAAAUAAAUAUUGCAAAUACUGAAAACUAGGAUGGCCUAACCUAAAGUGCCACAACAAAACUUCAUUGUCAUUAUUAACAACAGAAACAGAAUUGAAACAAAUACGUGGAGGUUGUUGUCUCAAACUUGGUACUUCUUCAAAGAAAUACAGCCCCCCACUUUGUCUAGCACUGCCAAUCAUCUUCCCCGAGGUCAAAUCCUGAAAUUCGCAAUGAUUUUGGAAGAAACUAGCACAACAGUUCAGGUCAAGAGUUAAUUUGCUAAGGGACAAAAGAUUGCAAGAUAGGUUAGGAACAUGCAGAACAUUAUGAAGAGUGAGAGUGGAAGAAAGAAUGAUAGACCCUUUUCUAGCAAUAACCGAAAGGGAUCCGUCAGCGAUCUUAAUUUUUUGAUUUCCUGCACAUGGCUUAUAGGCAGAAAACAAAGAUGGAGAGCCUGUAAUGUGAUCGGUUGCUCCUGAAUCGAUAAUCCAAGAACAAGGAUUCGAAUGAUGAGAAACAAGGGCAGCAGAAAGAUAAUUACCUUUUUGAGUUAAUGAGCAAGAGGGAGUAGAUGAAUUGAAGGAUGAGGAUUGAAACAAUUUAUACAAGUGCUCUAAUUGAUCCUUGGUGAAAGGUGAUGACUCUGAAGAACCUAAUUUCUCUUUAUCUGAAGUAGCUUGGAAGGCUCGUCCAUCACCUCCUUGUUUCUUCUUCACAUGAGGAGGCUUGCCAUGUAACUUCCAGCAAGUUUCUCUUGUAUGCCAAGCCCUUUUACAGAAGUUGCACCAAGGUUUCUUUGAAUUCCUUCGAUCUCCAUCAGGUUCAGGUGCCUUUAAAAUAAGAGCAGAACUCUCUGAACUCUCUACUUCACUGGUGGCUUUAACAUCAUUAAGCAUGACAUUCCGUCGCGCUUCUUCUCUUCUUACCUCAGAAAACACUUCUCAAAUAGAUGGAAGGGGUUUCCUGCUCAGAAUUAUGCCUCUCACUUUGUCCAAAUCACGGUUUAGCCCAGCUAAGAACACAUAUACUUUGUCAUUUUCCAACAUCUUUUUAUACCUUACACUAUCACUCGAACAGUCCCACUGCUCAUCAUAGCAAAGAUCUAAUUCCUGCCAAAGGAUCAACAGUUCAUUAUAGUAAGUUGUGACCAACCAAUUACCUUGCUUGGAUUGGCACAAUCGAGUUUUCAACUCAAAUAUCUGAGAUGAAUUUUCUAAAUCAGAAUAGGUAUCUCGGACUGCAUCCCACACCGCCUUGGCUGUCGGUAAGAACAGAUAAGGCUUACCAAUCCUAGGCUCCAUUGAGUUUAUCAACUACGCAAUAACCAUCGAAUUUGUUGAUCCCCAGGUCGAAAGAGAAGGAUCUCCAGUAAUUGGUUUUGUUACUUCACCAGUCAAAUGCCCCAGCUUUCCCUUUCCAUCAAUUACCAACUUAACGCACUGUGCCCACUCUAAGUAAUUUUUUCCAUUCAAUUUAUGAACAAUUAGUUGCAAAGAAAAGCUAUCCUGGUUAUAUUCAGACUGCUGCAACAGCGGCUGAGGAGUUCUGGUGUUACUAUCAUCAUCUUCGGCGGUAGAUGCCGAUGAGCUCUUUGUAGCUCCAGUCAUGGCAGUUUUCACCAUUGAAAAAUAGACCUCUAAAUAUUCAUUGCUCUGAUACCAUGUAAAUAUUUAGAGUCUGAAAAUACUAUUUUUCUUCUUUCAUUCAUUCAACAAGUUACACUUAAAUAGAAUAUAGAAAACAAACUCCUAAUAGAUAUCCCCUAAUUGUAGGAUACUUAUCUAAACUUGAAUUUAAAAAAAUGAUUAUCUAAAACUUUAUUCCGAUAAGACUUUAAAACUAAACUAAUUAUCUAAAACUUUAUUCUGAUAAGACUUUCAAACAAACUGAAAAAUCCUAACUUCUUGACACAUAGAUCAUACUGCAGAUGAAUUUUGGAAGAUGAACAAACUCAGGCAUCUAGUCAUUGAAGAUGGUGAAUGAAAGCACGAUGCCAAGGCUCUCCAAAAUCGUCCUUGCCAAAUACCUACUUCCUCAAAGUCUAAUCCCCUUGAGUUUCUCUAAUACUGAACAAAUGGAUGAUCCCAUGCCUGUGCUAGAAAAGUUGCCACUUCUUCAAAUGCUCAAACUGAAGCAAAAAUCAUAUUCAGGUAGAUAGCUGACUUGUGGGUCUGAUGGUUUCCCAAAGCUCAACAUAGUGCACUUGAAUUCAAUGCCAUGCCAUUUAAACAAAUUCGAGUGUUGGUGGCCUCAGCCGGAGCUGAGACAAAAGCUACGGGACUUUGAGGAUAAGGCGCAGUAUGACAAUCAAGUAUAUCAUUAUGGAAUUUGAUUUGCAUGGAUUUAAUUAGAUGUAAGUUUUUCAUUUUAUACAAUAUCAUCAACCUUUAAUUAUUAAUCUAAUUUCAUACAUAUGUUUUUUCUUCUCCUCAAUAUAUUUGAUAGUACGCAGCUUCCUAAUGCUAUCAAGUGUUUUCUAAUUGUAGUUGCUUCUAAUUUUUGUCUCAACAUUAGAGAUGAAGUGUUCAUCACAGUUCCUGAUGCUGACCCCGACCAUUUUCCCUUGUCUAUUGAUUGUUGAACAGUCAGGAAAAACUAUAAUUUCAUUUCAGAACCCUUGUGUAUUGAUCGUUGAGCAGUGAGGAAAAACUAUAAUUUCAUAUCUUAAAUUACUUGCGCCGGUGAAAUCAGAGCGGGAAAUAUGUCAACUGUAGUGCAGCAAAAGUUUCAAUUUCAACUAGAAUCCGGCCUUGAUCCUUUUAGUAUUCACUUCUGCUAUCUACACAUUAAUGAGUCCUUAGGAUUGAUGCAGGAUAUUAUUGGGUUUCUUUGUUUUCAAGGAUCUGCUACAAGCAAUAAUGUCAAGUUUUUGGAUUCACUGUGUAUAUUUUAUUCAUGUGUCUUCAUUCUUGUAAUGUGCUUGAAACUCCACCUUAGUGUGGACGUGUGUGGUUUGGUCGUACCAUGUGCAAUACAUGUAAAUUGUCAUAAUUGUCUUAAGGGAAUUCUGCAUCACUUCCAUUAGAAGAAAACUUUGGAUGUAGGCACCAUUGCCGCUGAAUCUACUUUUGAUUUGCUCCAUGUUUUCUAUAUUUUUUUAAUUCAAUUUUGGAGAUAGGGUUUCUAGCAUUGAUUGUUGAUACAUCAGAGGACUAAAUACAAGAAAUAAAAACUGGGGCAUAUUGCCUAAUCUUCAGAAUCUCCAAUUUUAUGGAGAUUUAAGCCCUUAUCAUUCAUAAAUAACUUGAGUGUUGGAUUGUUAUUAUCUUAGAUUCUCUAAAUAAUAAUCCGAAUAAGAAUGUUGGAAAAAUAUUGAUUAUAAAUACUUGUUUUGAACAAAUACUACCUAUUAUUUUAAAUUUUGGACUUAGAAAUUAUAAAUAGUAUUAGCAUGUGAAUUUUAAGGUAUUAGCUGAUUCUGUCCAAUUUUAGAGGUUGAUCCAUCAUGCUAAACUUAGUCAUUGGUUUUUGCUGAACAAAUGAAUGUGUAUCAUUUUUUUUUCCUCUUUUUUUUCUGUUAUACUUUGAUUCCCCUGCUUCUAGCUGAUUCUGUUCUCCUUUAUAACGAGAAAGAAGUUGUCUUUUGUGCUCUUAUAUAUACAUGUUAAGCCUGGAUAUGUGUGGUUUUGUUUGUUUUAAUAAUAUGAUUGUGUGGUGUCAUCUGUAAUACUUUUUAAGGGUGCAAAUCAAAUGAGUUUAUACCUUAUAGUGAAUUUGGUUAAUUUCAAGAUAUCAUUUUUUGGGAUCUUCGGCUCUAGUUGCUAAUACAAAAUUCCUCAAAUCUCGUUUGGAAUUUGGGAGUCCGUCCUAAAUGAUACAAGAUUUGAUAAAAAUUUCUCAUUCUGAUUUAUUAAUCGAGUUGAGAUUCAAGAUCUAGUUUUCUUCUAAUUUAAUAUUCAAGACGGGAUUUGAGACGUCUGAAAAUCUCAUUCGAGAUCCCUUAGGCAAUCAAAUGAGUUCAUAUCCUUAUAAUGAAUUUGGUUAAUUUCAAGAUACCCUUUUUUGGAAUCUUCCGCUCUAACUGUUAAUACGUGAACCUAGGCUGGCAAAAUUAUCCAGAUACCAAUCGAGAUACAAACCCUAUAUAAGAUUUGUUACAAAUUUCUUAUCCCUAUUUUCAAUGUAGGUCAGGAUUUGGGACCCCAUUUUAUACCGAUUGAUAAAUUUCUUUAUUUAGACAAUAACUGAUGACAGAUUAUUAGUUUAAAGCUCAUGGAGUAAAGGUUGAAUUAUUGGUUCAAUCAUCCGUAAUUUUCUGCAAGCAUGCAAUAUAUUAAACAAGAGAUUAUUUAAUUAUUUUUUGGGUUCUGUUAUUAACAAUAAUGAUUUUGAAGAUAUUAGUGGGAGAAAAAUGGUUCUUUUAAAUCAUUUUCAAUCUUGAGAAAAAGUUUUCUUGCUGCCAUACACUGUCCUUUCUCUAUAUUUAUAUUUAAUUCAUAUGUACAUAUAUCAUACAUACAUUAAAUGAGUGUAAUUCAAUAAAAACAUUCUAUGAUCUUUCUGCUAUAUGAAAAAUAACCUAAAAAAUAUAUAUAUACAAUUACACAAGCUCUAUUAAUACUCUACCAAUUAAAUUGAGCACGUGUUCUUUUUAAUAUCCUCAUUUCAGCUAAUUGUAUCCAGCCCAGUGGCCGCAUUUUUUUUUUCUCUUUUUGUGUGUGUGUGUAACCAAAGCUUUUUAUCUUUCAUUUGCAAUUUGAGAACCCAUUAGCCAGACAAUUAAAUGCAGAUUCCAUGAAUUUUGCACCGUUGACUUAACUCGAAGAGUAAGACUUCGAUGUAACUACGGAGUCAACAAAUAUGCUUGUCAUGGAAAAUCUCAUAACGCGUACAUUUACUUUUUCAUAUAUUGUGUCUCUAUUCUACCUCUCCAACUUAAAAUUCCUUGCUCGUGUUUUAAACAUGACAUAGAAGUUCUGGUUUGGAAAUGGUAGAGAUAGUUAGAUGUCACAGUUGCAUACAAGUGUACACAAUUUCUUUGUCAAAUAAAAUCUAGUCACAUAUUUAUUCUAAAACUUAAUUAUAAACUAUGAAUAAAUAAAAAACAGUGGACAUAAUUUUAUUGACUGUCCCAUUAAAUCCGUCGCACCUAAUUUUAUUUGCUUGCAGUGGGACGACUUUAAAUGUUGUCAUGUGGCUGCACAAAUGGACUAAUUCCUGUCACAACUUGAUAGUCUAUAUUAGCGCGGACUGUUGUGACAAAUGAACCUCUAUUUCGAUUGCGUACUCCAAUAUGUUAAAAAAAAGAAAAAAGAAAAUAAAAAGAAAAUAGGACAUCAUCAAGUAUCAAUCAAAGAUCAAUUUGUUUUAUCCACUUUCAAGAAAGAAAAGGUAAAAACAAUCCCACUGGGGACCAUAAAGUUUAUCUCAAAAGAAAAAGCACUACAAUAGUCGAACACAAAGAAGAGUAAUAAUGAGAAAGGAGUUGCAUAUAAAUUGAAGAUUUUUAUUUUUUUUAAAGAAGGGCCCGACAUCAUGAUUGCUUUCAUUUAGGAAAGGAUAUAUGAAAAAGAGAUGAAUAUUGCACUUUAGAUUUGGAUAAUUCCGAUUGGAUUUUGAAUUGUUUGGAUUAGGAAAAACAAAUCAUUCGAAUCCAACCUGAAUCUCAAAUACAAUCGAUCGGAUUUAAAAUAAAUCAGAUCUGAUAAAUAUUUCAGAUACAUUUAGUUUCAGAUUGUUUCGGAUUUAAAUGAUAUUUUAGAUUCAAAUGGUAUUUUAAGUUCAGAUUGAAUUUGUAUUUGGGUCUUUUUGAUAAUUUUUACAUAAAAUUCAUAAAAUCUAUAUAUAUAUAUAUGAGUAGUGCUAAAUGUCGGGAAGGCUGAGAUAACCCUGAGAGAAAUGGUAGCUUGUGCUGCCAUUUCGCGCGUGUUCUCUUGGCCCCGCCCCCCAUGUUUCUUUCUCUUUUCUUUUUAACUUAACGUUUGCUGUAGUCAGCCUUUUGCUGCAGUCAACUCAUCUCUCCAGCACCAAAAACUACCGUAUCUUCUCCCUCCCCUCAAUUUCAUCGGCACUCUCUCUCAUCAACGGCAUCGUUACCGACAGCCACCUCUUUCUCUUCAGCUCGUCACGACAGACACCACCAGUUUGGUUCGUCACUUCGUCCGGAUCUCUCCAUUAUUCCAAGUGUGUUUCCCCUAUUUUUUGUUCUAAAAAACCCAAAAAAAUGAAGAACAACACCUGUAUUGAUUUCGAUUUUUUGAUUCCAAGUCAAAGGGGUGCUUGACUUUUAAUUAUACAAGAUAGAAGAUGAAACCAAAUUUUGAUGUUGAUGAAGAAGAAGAAACAAAACUGACAGGAGGAAGAAGAAGAUAAUUGUGAUGAUGUUGUUGAUGAAGAAGAUGAAAUUGACGAUGGAGAGAAGUAACGAAGAAAUUGGAGAAGAGAGAGAAAGAAAAAAGAGAAGAAGAAGAAGGUAAAAGAAGAAAAAAAUAUAAGAGAGAUAAAAUAAUAUAAAAAAAAGAGGAAAUGUUUAAAGUAAAGUGGGGGUGGGGCCAAGAGAACACGCGUAAAAUGGCAGCACAAGCUGCCGUUUCUCUCAGGGUUCUCUCAGCUUUCUCGACGUUAAGUAUUUUCCUAUAUAUAUAUAGUAGUGCAAUCUAAUCGAAUUGUUUAAAUUAAAAUGGAUCCAAUCCAUCGAAUGCACAAAUUUUAUCCAAUCGGAUAUAAAUGGCAACAUCCAAAUCCAAAUCAGAUCGAAUCAUAUCUAUCCGAAUCUGAUCCAUGCACACCUUUAGCCCUAUUGGAAUGAUUAUCUAACGAUUCAAACUAUAACGUAUUUUGUUGUAGUUUGUAGAGCGCUUGAAAAGAAAAUCUCUAAACAAUAGUGACUAUUAUGAAUUAGAUGCAUCAAUCAAUUGUUGAAAAUUGAUUAAAAACAAAAAAAGAAAGGUUGUUGACCAAAAUUUGUUGAUCAAAUUUGAUGGCUAAGCCACCAAUUUUGAUCAAAAUUGGUGGGCAUAGUUAGGCAAGUUUUUGCCUAUAAAUAGGAGGGUGCUCCUCCUCACUUUUGUAUCCAAUUGAGAGCAUUCAAUUGGUGAAUGCAAGAAAAGCAUUGAGAGCUUCUAAUGGGAGAGAAAUAAUCUUAAGCAUGUAGAUGUAUUAUAGGAGUAUUUGGCUCCUCAAUGUGGGUAUUACGGGUUUGCUCUGUUAAAGAAUAUUUUUCGGGAUCAUGUAUUUGGGGCUUGGGUGAGAAAAAUUAUUUCUGAAAGUGUGGUUGUAAUAAUUUUUCACAUAAUGAAUAUUUUUUUCUCUGGUUGUCUUUUGAUAACGGCCGUAGUUUUUUUUCUGGAUUUAGAGUUUUCCAUGUAAAUCUUGUAUUGUGUGACUAAUGUAUUCUCCGUUUAAUUUUUUCUGUUAAUUUAUUGUUUGACAAAUUGUUUGUAGUGAUCUUGGGAGAAAACUCAAUUUCCUAACACGAAUCAGAUUCUAAGGAGAUGUUUUUUCUCUCUAUACAAGCUUUAUGGUCCCAGCGGAAUUAUUUUUAAUCUUUCAGUCUUUUGAGAGGGCAAAAAAGAAACUAGUCUUGAUAGCCUAUUUUACUUUCUUCAUACACAUAUAUAUAAAACACAAAUUAUAAGACACCCUUUUAUCUUCUUGCAUAAAGAAUAUUUUAUAUACACGUGCAUUAUACCUCAGGUUUUGUGCAGAAAAUCAUUAUUGUAAUGUUUUGGGAGAGAUUAUUUAGUGUUAGACAUUGGAAUUUGUGGGUUUGUUUGAAUAAGAAUUUGAGGUAUUUUAGUUUAGAAUCUAUGAGUAAGGAUUACGAUUUGUAAGUAACAUCCUUCUUCACGUGCUCCGCACGUGUUAGUUUUGGGGUGUAACAUAACUAGAUCCUAAGAUCUCGAUCCACAGCUUAGUAAUCUGCAGAUACUUCAUACGAAGCCGAAUCCGCUGAAUCAGGAGUAAGAAUCUUAUAUACGUGUAAGAAUAAAAAUAAAAAGUUGGAAAAAGAAGCUCAAAGAAUUUUAAAUUGAAAAGUUGAUUUUCAUGUGCGGAACAAGGGCUUCAGAUUAAAUUGUUGAAAAAGUUUUGUAGUAAAAUAUUUUUGUUUUCAUAUGAUUUUUUAAGAAAAAAGAAUAUAUAAGGUUUUUUGUGGAAUUAACAUAGGUGUUGUUAAAAGUAGUGUGAUUUACAUAUAGGGGCGGGCAAAAAAAUCGUGCACUAGAGAAAACAAAACUGAACUGAUCCGAACCGUUCCAUUCGGAUCAGUUUUAAUUUUAAAAAAUAAACGAAAUAUAUGGUUUGUAAAAAGAAUCGAAAUGUAGGUUUGGUAUUUGGUUCACUUAGCUGAACCAAAAAACCGAACUAAAAAACCAGAUUGUUCUUGGAAUUUUAUUUAAAUAGACAUGUGUUAAAUUUUAAUUGGUUGCGUAAGAUAACUAAAAUAGGCAUGCACACACACGAUUAUGGGUAUAUAUAUAUGUUACAAUUUCUGCACCCAAAACAAACCUAAAGGCUAAAAUCAAAAACGAAAUCAACUCGCAAGCCAAAUCCUUUUAGGAGUUCUUUAACUCAUAAAACAGUCAAGUCAUUAAUCUGUACUCAAAAUUGGUUUUACUCAACUCUCUUAGGAGAGCAUACAAUACAACCAAGUCAGGAGGAAGCUGAAUUCUAUGAAUUAGUUGAAACAUGUAAUAUUGUAAUUUAUUAUGUUAUUUUUUGUUACUUAUAACAUUUUGUAUAUUAGAAUUAAUGAUUUUAAUAUAAUUGUUUCAAUUUCUUGAAGAAUUGUUUAGGCUAAUGCAAUCUCAACAACAACAAGUAGCUGAGGAGUAAAUGACAGUUGACUGAUGUUGCUGACCAGUAAGUUUUCUUUAUUUUUUUUUAAAAAAUAGUAUCUUAUUUAUAUAGAUUUUUAUUUAAUUAUUUAUUUUUUUAAAUUUUUUUUAUAGAUCCAAAUAUUGAGUUGGAAAAUGCCUAAAGUUGAUACUGAUAUUGAUGGGGAUAGGAGAAUGUUGUUGUCAUUUGUUUGCAAUUUAAAAAAAAAAAAUUUUGUGAAGAUGGGAGAAUGUUGUUGGUGUUUGUUUCCAAAUUUUCUUUUUAUUUUGUGUUGUAAGUUUUAAUUGUUGUUAUUUUUAUUUGUCUUUACAACAUUAUGUUUAUGUAAAUGGAGUAUUGGAGUUUAAUUAUGUAUUUUGAACUCUUAAUAUUUCAUAUUUUGUAAGUAUCUUAUUAGUAGUUAGUAAGAUAUUAGUGAUAAAAUAUGUUUUGAAUAUUUUGUAUUUAUUGUUAAUAUUUGUAAUGAAAUUAGGAUAAAUUAAUUGUUGAAAAAAAUAAUUACAUUCAUGAGGCCUAAUGAGCUAAAAAUUUAGAAAUUCAAAAUAGGCCCAAUAGGCCCAAAACCGAAAAAAUCGAACCGGACCGAACCGAUCUGAGAAGAUCCGUUUAUAUUCGAUUUUUAUUGUGUUCGGUUCUUAUUUGGUUCUUUUAAUAAAAUAACCUAUUUAAAUCGAUUUUGCUUAAUUUCGAUUCGAACCAAACCAGACUGAACCAUGCCCACCCCUAUUUACAUAUGUUUUUAAUCGUGUACUUUUAGAAGAGAGGCUUUACGAGGAGUUUAAAGUGGUGCUAAUAGUUUCACUUAUUGACAAAUGGGUCAAAAAACAUCCAAAAGCUUCAAAGACCUUUCAUAAUACUUGGAACACAAAAUAGUUAAUUAUACUUUACAAAAAAAUUUGUUUUUUAACAUUUUACAACUCAAAACACGCUAGAAGAUCUUUAAUAUUUCUUAGUUUACUAUAAGAUACUAUAAGUAUAUAUAACAAAACAAGAAUAUAUUGAUUGAUACCAUAUAUUUGAUACAAGUGAAUAGAAAAUCUCUCACUUGAUAGAAUAUAUAUAGCAUAUGACAAGUUACAUACAUCUAAUUUUCUGCAUGCAUAUGGAAAAAAAAUUAAUUGUUUAAAUUUCUAAUUUGUCAAAUCAAGGUUUGAUUUCUGAAUUUUUUUAGUUGUUAAGUGGAUUAAAUUUCCCCCCAUAUACACUGUCUAGAGAAACUCAUGAAUCUAAAUAAACCAAACCCAUAUUAAAUUUAAUGAUAUCAUUAUCCUCAGACUCUCAGUUUUGCACUUUUGCUUACAUAAACAUUAUGGAACUUAAACUUAAAUCCACUUUUUUCAUCAUUCUCUUGGUGGCCUCAUGUUUGUUCCUUAAUCUUAUUUUCCUCAUCUUUUUAAUGCAUCCAUAAUUAACUAUAAUAUGACAACUAAUUGGCUGGCAUUUAUAUAUGCAGGCGUGUUAUUAGCAUUAGGCUAAUUAAUUGAUUGCCAUUUAUAUAUGCAGGUGUGUUGUUUGAUAUUUUCAUGCCGGCAGUUGAUGCUCAACCGGAAUCAAAAGCAGUCACUUGUAAAAGCAAUGCCGACUGUGACAAUCCCUGUCAGUCGUUUCGAAUGCGAUCUUGAUACCCAUCUCUGCGUUUGUGUUCCUGGCCGCAAUUCGAUGGGUUGCUGAAGAGAUUAAAGCUUGUAUUGCAAGUUCUAGUGAUAUUUUGGAUGCUGAAUUGCAAAAUUUGUAACGUUACAAUCUUUGUUCCGUUUCUUACGUCAUGUGUCAAAUAAAAGUAUCAACUAAGAUUGCUGCCUCUCUUCUGAUAUGCAUACUAAAAUUGUGUACAAAAAUUUACAAAUCAUCUCCAUGUGAUUGGUCCUAUUAUACAAUGUUGUACCAUUCAUUUGGAGAAGUCUUUAAGGCUUGGAAUUAUACAAUUUUUAAAAUUUUCAGUAUUUUUUUUGGCUUUCGAGCUGGGUUCGGACUUUUAACCGGAGCCCAAGACCAGCCAGAAUACUUAGAAAACAUGCUCUAGCUACACUUGAUUUUUCUGCCAUUCCUACUUAGAAUUCCAUUAUCAUUGAUUUCAUUGAUGGAUUGUUAUAUUUUUCACACUAAGUGCUCAAAUGAAAAUAAUUAUAAAUAGUGUCUUAUGAUGUAAUCCUUUCAAAAAGGUGAGAGUUCAUAUAAUACUGAUAUUUGAAUAAAAAAAUGAUACAGUGGUGAGAAAACAACUAUAAAUUUUAUUUAUAAUGUUAAAUAAAAAAUUAUAACUAUUUUUCAAUUAAUAUUGUAACAUUGCACAAUUUACUAUUAUUUUUGUCACCUGUUGUUAGAACUCUUUAUCAUUUUUCAUUUCUUAGAAAAGAAUGCUAAAAAGAAAAUUUAACAUAUAUUAACUAUAAAAUUUUACAAACGAUUUAGUACUUUCUCUAAAUCUAGUUGAAGAAAUAAGACAGCAUCACACAUGAUUAAGAAUGCAUAUUUAUUUGAGUAAUUUUACAUUUAUAACCCUGGGAUACAAAUUUUAUUUGUGAUAUAGAUACAUGCAAGUCUCGCAAUAAAUUUAACAAUUAACACCAGACAUGAUUUUGCAUUUUUCCACAGCUUAAUUAUUAAUUAUUAAAUAAUUGAUAACGCUCUUGUGCUUGCUCCGUUCUUUUCUUUUCAGACAAGCUUUUAUAGUCCCAGUGGAAUUGUUUUUACCCUUCCUUUCUUAAAAGUGGAUGUAUAAAACAAAUUGGUCUUGAUCGAUACUUGACAAUGUCCUGUUUAUUUUUCGCUGCUUUAUUCUUUUUUCAUCAUAUGGAAGACGAGAUUAUUGUAAGAUUCUGCCUUGAUAUGUUCUAAUUUGAGAGUCAACGAUCUUGAUUUAACUUCUUGACUGGAGAACUAGCUAAGAGAAGGGAGGUAUGGGAGCCAGCACUAAUGUUUGAAUUGAGAGCUUUAAAGCAUAUUUUCCUUUUCCCCUCUCUCUUUUAAUUAUUUCUUUGCAUGCUCUUAGACAGAUUUCAGGGUGGAUUUGAGGGAGGAGGAGAUAUGGACAUCAACAUCAGACUAUUUUCAGAGAGGCUGAGAAGGGUGUUAGCUGGUGAAGAAGUCACGUUGCCUGAUGCUGCAAAACAACCUAUUCACAACUUUCAUGCCGAGAUUGAAAUCGUUACUUCUUUGCUGAGGGACUUUGAAGAUGAUAUCUCCUGCCUUCUGGUGCAAAAAAUAGGAGACCUUGAAAUUGACAACCCAGAUCUGGCGACCGUUAUGGACGAAAUCAACUGUUUUGCGUAUGAAUCUGAGAAGGUUAUUGGCACAUUCAUCAACAGCAUCGCUCAACAGAAGAGUCAAAGCAGGUACAACAAGGAUGUUUGUGAUGCUCUGCAAGGACUCCAAAGCAGAAUCACUGAGAUUAAGCAACGGGUUCAACAACUUAAGCACAUCGAUUUUGAAAUCAUGGAUGGGUUAAGAAGUGUUGAAGCUGAAUCCAGUUAUUUUCCUGCAUCUUCAUCUUAGAAGAAUCGGAACACGGUGGGUCUAGAUGAUAGAAUGGAGGAGUUGUUAGAUCUAUUGAUCGAGGGACCACCUCAGCUGUCAGUGGUGGUCAUACUUGAUAGCAUUGGGUUGGACAAGACGGCUUUCGCCGGAGAGGCUUACAACAGCAGUUAUGUGAAGCAUUAUUUUGAUUGCCACGCUUGGGUUCCAGGGACUUAUCCGUAUGAUGCUGACCAAAUGUUAGAUAUCGUUAUUAAGUUUCUGAUGCCUUCAUCUAGGUUGAGUGAAAUAAUGGAUAAAAAUUAUGAAAUGAAAAAAAUAAUUCUUCAUGAAUAUCUAAUGACCAAGCGGUAUUUGAUUGUGAUUGAAGAUGUAUAGACCAUUGGUGUGUGGGAUGUUAUUCGAGAAAUACUUCUGGAUAAUCAAAAUAGAAGUAGAGUAUUAAUCACACUCAGCCGAAUUGAGAUUGUCACCUCAUUUCAGUUCGAAGACGGAGAGAACAUUGGGCUUGAUUUUGUGCCCACUGGAGGACCAUUGAGAGCUACAUACCAAGGAUGGCCUUUCCUCAUCUUAUAUCAUGGAAGCAUCUCAUUAGAAGAAAAUAUAGGGGAAGCAGUGGCGAUACCCCUUGGGCUUUGGUACUUCAAAUAUUGCAGGUUACCUUUUUGCUUGAAACUUUGUUUUCUCUACUUAUCUGUGUUUCCUGCACACCUAGAGAUAUCCACCAGGCAGUUAUAUCAGUUGUGGAUAGCUGAAGGUUUCAUCCCAGACAAUAGUGAGGCAACUGCUGAGAAUUACUUGGAACAACUAAUCAAGGGAGGCUUUGUUGAAGCAAAUAAGAGAAAAGCUGCAGGCACUAUCAACACAUGCUCUAUUCGUAGCCGUUGCCAUCCUGUGUUGUUGUCAGUUCCUUAUAGGGUGGAAUUUAUCUCUUCCCCUUUCCUGGAUCCAAAAGGUAAAUCACCAAAACAAGUCAAACGGUUAAACGCUGUUAAAAGACAGGAAGAUUUUGCUUGCUUAGAUUAUUAUGACUCGCAACUGCAUUCUUUGUUGUGCUGCUCUCCAGAAAGCCGCCACUUUGACCCCAUGGAUUGGGAGAAAAUUUGUGGAAUGUUCCAACUUCUCAGAGUAUUGGACUUGGGAUCUCUUGUUCUCAUCCAAUAUCCAUCCGGAAUUGAAAAUUUAUUUCUUUUGAGAUAUUUGAAGUUGAAUAUCCCUUCCCUUAAAAGCCUGCCUUCAUCGUUAUUAAGCAAUCUUAUGAACCUCUAUACCCUAGACAUGCCCUUUAGCUAUAUAGAUCACAUGGCAGAUGAAUUUUGGAAGAUGAAAAAACUCAGGCAUCUAAAUUUUGGGUCAAUCACACUUCUUGCGCAUCCAGGAAAAUAUUGUGGCUCUCUGGAAAAUCUCAAUUUCAUUUCAGCCUUGCAUCCUUGCUGUUGUACUGAAGAUAUAUUGGGCAGACUACCUAAUCUUCGAAAUCUCCGGAUUCGGGGAGAUUUAAGUUAUAAUCAAUCUUUGUUGUCUAAAAGUCUCUGCAGAUUGAGCUGUCUCGAGUCAUUGAAGCUGGCGAAUGAAAGCAAGAUGCCACGGCUCUCCAAAAUCGUCCUUGCU